GUGUUUAGAAGCCAGGUCUCAUGUUUUAUUCUAUACAAGACAUAUUUUCUUGGAUGAUCUUCUCUGCCACAAUUGAACACACAAAAGAAACCCUGCAGUUACAUGCUACAGUAUGAUUUAACACACACACUCAUUAUUAAUCUGUUCCAGCAAACAGGUGGAGUUCAGUGCAGGUUGGGCCAAGCUAGAAUCUUGAUUAGGUGAUGACCAAUGUUUUAGGAUAAUAAAAAAAAAUCUGCACUACAAAUUGUCAUAGGUGUCAGGAGAGCCGGAAACCAGCAAGGCAAAAAAACCACAAGCCAAUCACCCUAUGAAGAGGUUCCUACAUUACACUCCCUUCGACCUUAUUCAGGAGGAGCAGCAUCCCUGAUCAACAGCUUGGCCUCAUCAUCAAACAAAAAGGGAGACUAGUUUCAUGGUAUGCAGAAUAUAUUAUGAGUUCCUUCACGAUUGCUGCAGCAAGCGGUAGAGUCCCCACCAGCAGGCCAGUCCCCUAAGUGGCCUUUGCCGCCGCCGCCUCCUCCUCUUUCAUCUUCUUAUCCCAUCUGCGUUUCUGUAGAAACAACAAUUCGAGCAAACACAGAAAGAGGAUAACCAGUCAGAUGUUUCCUUUUAGGGCAUGCAAAGUAAAGCACAAAAGUUAUGCAACGCUUAAGUAAGAAUUCAAUUCAACUAGCAGCAUAAUUUCCAGGGGAAGAUAUAUUUUCCAAAUCAAGCCAUUAUUAAUUUAUCCAUGUUCGAUCAUAAGAUGACCCAUGAACAUAGCAAUUAUCCAGGAAUUCAAUUGCCAGCUCAUAUGUUUAUUUCCAGGUGCUCCAUCGCCAUCCUAGCAGCCUGAUCAAAAUAGGUUGUGCCCAUCUUACAAGCAAGCUUAUUGGCAUUUAGAGAUUGUUGCACAAAUCUAGAGUGCCAACUACGCUGAUUUAAAUGUAUGGCAGCAACUAAAGGCCCAGCAGCAUCCUAAGUAUCUCAUACUGAGAUAAGCUGCGUUUGGGAGAAAUGGGACUUAAAUGUAGAUUUUCAAGUAAUAUCCACGAGCAAGUGCCGAUCAUAACACUAGUUGGUUUGAAAUCCCUUCUAGUUAACUUCUUGUGGCUUAUCUAAGCAAGGUCCACUGCAGUGCGCAUGACUUCCGUUAUGGCUAUGGUUACAGCCGAUUAUGCACUGAUAUAACUAGGACACUGAUCAUUUGGUUCGAAACUGCAUUACUUCAUCCGACCUGGGGGAAAUUGCCAAAGCAUUUGACAAUUGAAACAUCGGAAUAAAGUACCAGUCCCUCCGUCCCAUAAUGNNNNNNNNNNNNNNNNNNNNNNNNNNNNNNNNNNNNNNNNNNNNNNNNNNNNNNNNNNNNNNNNNNNNNNNNNNNNNNNNNNNNNNNNNNNNNNNNNNNNNNNNNNNNNNNNNNNNNNNNNNNNNNNNNNNNNNNNNNNNNNNNNNNNNNNNNNNNNNNNNNNNNNNNNNNNNNNNNNNNNNNNNNNNNNNNNNNNNNNNNNNNNNNNNNNNNNNNNNNNNNNNNNNNNNNNNNNNNNNNNNNNNNNNNNNNNNNNNNNNNNNNNNNNNNNNNNNNNNNNNNNNNNNNNNNNNNNNNNNNNNNNNNNNNNNNNNNNNNNNNNNNNNNNNNNNNNNNNNNNNNNNNNNNNNNNNNNNNNNNNNNNNNNNNNNNNNNNNNNCAUUAUGGGACGGAGGGAGUAGUUAAUAAAAAACACAGGCAGAAAUUUGGGUCAGCCUCGGAAUAAACGAGCUGUUUGUCGUAGAUAGAAAAACAUUACGCCCAUCAGACUUGAAUUUAAAGAGAAAAAAAAAGGAAAUCUCGAAUAGGAUUUUUCUUCCCCGAACUAAUCCGAUCUAAGGUGUCUAAUCUGCAUAUACCCAUUCAACCAGCAGAACUGGAUUUCCGCAAUCCAGACAAAUGUUGAGCAAUGAACACCGACGAUUAAAUCAUCGAACCCAAGCUACCGAUAUCGGCUGGGAAACAAACGUUGCAUACAAUGUCAGCUGGGAAACAAACGUUGCAUACAAUACAAGGAUUGUUGCUCGGCACCAGGAGCAUUUACUGUACGUUCGCAUCAAGGAUUGCCAACGCAGUUGCAGUUUGCUAGCAGGGCAAUGGAUGCCAGAUUGAAAAAAAAAAGAGACGAGGAGUCGAACCUUGUAGUCGAGGAGCAUCUGCGGCAUCUUCUUCAUCAGCUCGACGGUGUUGGCGCGCCUGCAGAGACGAAGAAACCGAAUUUAUCAGGCAUCGAUCGAUCGCGGCGAGGGGGAGGGAAAUGGGGGGCUGCUGCUGCUGCUGCUUACUUCUCGGCGGCGAUGCGGUCGACCUUGUGGCCCUUGCGCUUGGUGCGCAUCUCGCCGCGGGGCGGGUCGUAGGCCCAGUCCUCGCCGGCGAGGAGCACCUCCUUGCGCAGCCGCGCGCGCUGCCGGCCGCUGAUCCCCAGCGGCUUCCACGCCCCCAGCUCCCAGUACCCCCACACCCCCUUGCUCAGCUCCCCCUUGUACUUUGCCAGCUUCUCCUUCCACGGGUACCCCUCCGCCCACCUCGCCGCCGCCGCCGCCGCCGACAUCUUCCCCCCUCCCAUCCUUCUCGCUCGCUCGCUCGCUCCCUAUGCCGCUCCACCUCGCCGGCUUUAGGGUAAGGCAAGAUCCUUCCCCCCGUCGGGCCGGGCCGGGCCGGGCCUUGAUGGGCCGGACCGCACGUUCGAUCAAAUGAUGUGAGGCCCGUACCAGCCCGGCCCAGUAUAAACCCUGCCGUCUCGCCUCGGCCUCUGCCUCGGCCUACUCUUUCUCUGGAGCAAGAACCCUCGCCGCCGCCGACUCCUCCUCCGCUGCCGCAACCAUGGUGCUCGCACGCAAGAAGCUGAGGCAGAAGCUCCACGCGCUCCUCCCCGGCGGGGGCGCCGAGGGGGAGGCUGCCGCGGAGGCGAGGAAGAUCAAGGUGCGGCUCGUGUCCUCCAAGCGGCCCCGCCCCAAGCGCCCGGGCCCCCGCCGCGCCAAGAACAAGAAGGCGUCCCCGAAGAAACCACCCCCGCCGGAGGUGGGUGCGGAGGACCAUGAGGUGGAUGCGGAGGGCCUGGAGGAGCCGGCGGUGGUCGUUGCGGCCACGGAGGAGCCGGCCGUGGACGAGGCGGAGGCGGAGCGGCGGAGGAAGGAGAGGAGGAAGGAGGACAAGGAGAAGCGGAAGAAGAAGAAGGAGAAGUUGAGGGCGAGGAAGCUGGCGGAGGCGGAGGCGGCCGCGGGCAAGAAGAAGUCUGACGGAGAGCCGGGGGAGCUGGGCCUGGAAGCGGACGGUGCUGGCGACCUGGAGGAGCCGGCGGUGGUGGACGAGGCGGAAUUAGCGCAGAAGGCGGAGGUGGAGCGCCGGAGGGAGGAGAGGAGGAAGGAGAAGAAGGAGAAGAGGAGGGUCAGGAGGCUGACGGAGGCCGAGGCGGCGGCGAACAAGAAGUCCGACGAUGAGGCGGAGAAGCAGGACGCGGAAGCGGCCGCCGCCGAACCUGCCGUGGCAGACGACAGGUGAGUUGACGCUCCGAACGGUUGGUGCUUCUGUUCUCGAAUGCCUCAUUUGUUGUCAUGUUCAUGCCAUGUAACUAUGUAAGUAGGAAAUGUGUUGAGCUGUUGAUGUUAAGAUGCCAUUGCUGCAAAGAGAAGAUCGUCGAUAGUUUGCAUAACAUGUUGGUAGAGCUCAUAAAAUGUGUUGAGCUCAGAAUAGCCGUGCAGUGAUUAUAGGCGAUGGGUCAUUGUAAAUGCUCUAGUGAGGUCUGGAUUGUUUACCUUUAUCAUUCAGAGGUAGUCAUAACAUUGUAAAUGCUGUAGUAUGAAAGCAACUAUCUGACCAUCUAGUUUGGCUUUGAUCUGAGAAAAACACGUUUUGUAUGCCUUCCAUGGUGGAAGAUAACAGUUUAACAUUUUGUGAAGUGGCACUUUAGUUGACUUCUAGUGUUGUUUUUGGCAUGCUGAAUCUCAAUGAGGUGUGAGGCGGUGGUGUUUACCUGUUCUGGUCCUUGUAUUGACAUCGGUUAUGUAAUGACUUUUGUUCUUGUUUCAGUGAACACAAUCUAGACGUCACGAAGGUGGAAGGAGAGGCGGAGAAAAUUAAGUCAGAAGAGGUGAAGGAAAUUAAGUUAGAAGAGGCUGGCCAGGCAGGUGUAUCCGACAAUCCAAUUGUGCCGCGAGAUAGGUGAGUUAAAGCUGUAAAGGAUAGAUGUUCUGGUUCUUGAGUACCUCCUUUCUCGUUAGAUAGAUAUGAGGACUGAAGAUGUCACAGAAUAGAGGCAUGUAAGACAAGACACUGUUUCUGCAAAUAAUUAGAGGGAUUAAAAUAACGCAGCAAGUUAGUGACUUAGAAUGGUAUAGCGGGAUGGGCCUUUUUGCAUAUUUACGAGUUGCUCGGACUUGGACUGUCUAGCUUUGCUGUUGACUCAAAUAGUGCAAUAACUUUACAGUAUAUCAGAAAUUGUUUGCUCAUCAGACUUUGUUGUGAGCUUUUUUCUUCCACAAAAAAACUGUUUGGUCCGGAAGUUUCUUUGUGAAAUGAUAUUACAAAUUUAUUGCUUUCUGGUUGUAUGUUUAUUGAAUUGUUAAGGAGUGCGGUAGACAGGCUGGAGAUCAGGUUCUUAUAGGAUGUUGGCAGCUGUUUAAUAUUUUGCUUCAUUGUUUCAGUGAGCAAAGUAUGAAGAAGGUGUAUGUUGGUGGCAUCCCGUACUAUUCAUCUGAGGAUGACAUUAGGAGUUUCUUUGAAGGAUGCGGAAGUAUCACUGCGCUGGACUGCAUGACUUUUCCUGACACCGGGAAGUUCAGGGGUAUUGCCAUUCUCACAUUCAAGGUCAGCUUUGCAACACAGUACCCUUUGUUCUAGUCUUGCGUUCCUGUUCAUGCUGACAUGUUUAAUUCACCCCAAGACAUCUUCUUAGUGUACUGAAUGUUUAAGGUUUGAUGGCACUGGCGUUUGGUUGAACUAACUGUGUACGCAUGGCAGUCUGACUUUUUCACUGUUCUGGUGUAGAAUUUUUUGGUUUUUAUUUCCAAAACCUCUAGGGCAUUCAUCUUUAAGGUCUUUUGGUGGUAAGUGGUGCUGUACCCUUGUGUCUUAUGUUACUACAACUUCUGAGCAGAACUCUCGUCGACCAUUUAAUUUUUUGUAAUCCAUUGGAGUCGUCUUGAUGCCAACAUAAGAUGCUCUUAAUCUGCUUGGUAGCGCACAUGAUUCAUCAGCAGCAUGUUUCAGUCAUUCUCAUUGUUAGGAGAAUAUGCCUGUAGCUUGAAUCUUGUGGUACAACUUUUGAGCAGUGCUGGUACAACCAUGAGAAGUAAGAUUUUGCACCAAUGAACGUCUCCUUCCCAUUAUCUAAGGCGCCUAAACUUUUGGCACGGAAGUUAGCACAGCCUAGUUGUUGCACCACACGGUUAUAGGAGACGUUCAGUUCCCUAACGAUAUUCUCUAACAGCCAUUAGCAGAUGCCAUUUUGCAGGCAAGCAGAUGCCAGUUAGCGACCCCCCUUUUCAGGAAACUACACCAUCGGUUUCCAGGGAAUGGCCAAUUAAAGGGAAAACUGAUUUCCUUAGUCCUUGCACACCUUACAAAUUGGGAAAAAUUAGAAAAGCUUAGGUGCCUUGGAUAAUGGGAAGGAGGGAGUACAAUUUAGUUUCAUUUUAGUCCAUUGGAGUCAGCUUGUACCACCACAAGAUGCUCUUAAUCUGUUAUCAGGAGUCAUGAAUAAUUCACAUGUCUCAUCAGCAGCGUGCUUUUAGAGUUGUUUGGAAGUUGGAGCCUGACAGAGUUUUCUUGUGCAGACUGACGCCGCCGCAAAAAGGGCAUUGGCUCUUGAUGGUGCAGAUAUGUAAGCACAUGUCCUUAAUGUUUACCCUUGUUUGUUUCAGUUGUGAUUCAUAAGUGACAGCAUUUUUGUUAAAUAAUCUCAGGGGAGGGUUCCUUUUGAAAGUCCAGCCUUACAAGGCUAACCGCGAAAAGGUCAAAUCCAACCAUGAGAAGGAAGAUUUUGCACCAAAGAUGAUAGAGGGAUACAAUAGGACAUAUGUUGGAAACCUAGCUUGGGACGUAACAGAGGAUGAUCUGAGGAAGUUCUUUUCUGAUUGCAAGAUCUCAUCCAUCCGUUUUGGAACAGACAAGGAGACAGGUGAAUUCAAAGGGUUUGCACAUGUUGAUUUCUCUGAUAGCACAUCUCUUGCUAUUGCUCUGAAGCUUGACCAGAACGUGAUUAAGGGGAGACCAGCCAGAAUCAGAUGUGCUGUUCCAAAGAAAGAAAACCAGAAACCAGAUGACAAUGCAACUUCAGAUUCAUCAAAGAACAGCAUCCGUACAUGUUAUGAAUGUGGCACUCCUGGCCAUCUCUCUUUUGCUUGCCCUAAUAAGAAGGUUUCUGAAGUCAUAUCUAGUGAAAAUAAGGAUAAUGUCGAUUCAGCUGAAGCAUUGUCCAAGAAGAGGCGCACUUGUUAUGAAUGUGGCGUUCCUGGCCAUAUAUCGUCAGCUUGCCCCAACAAAAAGACUUCUGAAGUCAUAGCUGAUGAAUAUAAGGCCAAUAUCGACUCAGCCACAACAUCGUCGAAGAAGAGACGGACAUGCUAUGAAUGUGGCGUUCCUGGUCAUCUAUCAUCUGCUUGCCCAAAUAAAAGUGCUCCUGAAGUCAUAGUUGAUGAAAAUAAGGCCAAUACUGAGUCAGCCACAACAGCAUCGAAGAAGAGACGGACAUGCUAUGAAUGUGGCGUUCCUGGCCAUCUGUCGUCUGCUUGCCCAAAUAAAAGUGCCCCUGAGGUUGUUUCUAACUACACACAGCCUUUUGAUGAACCGAAGUAUGAACCUUACAUGGCUUCUGAGCAGAAUAAAAUAGACGAUGGAUCAACUUCAGCACCUUCAAAGCGGAGGAAAUGUUAUGAAUGUGGCAUCUCCGGUCAUCUCUCAUCAGCUUGCCCCAACAAGAAGGCUACUGUGAUUAGUCCUGAGGAAGCUAAACCUGUUGGUGGCUCAAGCAUGGAACCUUCAGCUGUUUCUGUUGAGAACAAACCUAGUGGCGACACAAGCUCGGCGCCUCCAAAGAAAAAGAAGAGAAGGACGUGCUAUGAAUGCGGCAUAGCUGGUCAUCUCUCCUCAGAGUGCCCCAACAUGGCCAAAUGAUCAUGGUGGACCAGUUGCUUUUUGGUAGUUAGUGCCCUUCGUUCGGGCGCACGAAGAAUUUUCUCCUGUGAAGGAGAGGAAAUGGUUCCUCACUAGCAUGAUCAAGAGACAAUUUACUGAGCAAUCUUGUAUCUUCCAUUUACCCUUAUCAAAUUUUGACUGCGUCGUAUAUUCUUUAUGGGUGGAAAAGUUUGGCUGCGUGAUGAAAUUUCCAGACUCCAGUAUAACCAAUCUAUGUGCACUGUAUUUGCUAGUAUUACAGCUUAUUAAUACCAGGAAUAAUUCGUAGUAUCCGAAAUCUUCUGUUCUAACCAUUAUUUUGGUCCUGUGCGAACUAAACUAACAUUUGGUUUCAGAGAUAUAUCUGGAAAAGUUACUGGAGAUGGAAUUGGUUCGUCGACUCAAAUGGAGAACCAAACAAAUACUAUGCAAGAAUCUGAGAUCUUAGAAAGCACUAGGAUGUCAACAUAAAUGUGCUUACUACUACUGGAUGCUGACUGAAUCAAUCACUAGUGACCACUUUGCUUUGUGUAUGUGUGUGAUGACAUGUAUGUAUAUGUAGGUGCAUUGCACUAACUAUGCCUGAUACUCCAAGUUGAUGCAGUGCCGUCCGCAUCACACCGGUGGCGACCUACGUGGAGAGGGCGACAAGAACCCUAGAAAAAUCCAGGCAGAAGCAAAGUGCUCUCUCUCUCUCCCUCUCCUAGCCUGGGAGGGAGGUUCGAACUGUGUGAGUUCCAGCCUCGAACGCAGCAACCCGCUGCUGCUCUUUUCUCUGACAGCGACUUAACUCUUUUUCAAAAAGCAAGUUUGGCUCACCCAGUUUGUCACUCAUGAGAGCAACAGGUUGUUCAUGACAAUGAUUUGUGUUUGUCAACUUUCAAUUGCCUUCUUUAUCCAUUAGUAGAACAAAGAAACAAAAUUCACCUUCGGUUAUUUCUUGGGUAGGUGGUUUCUGUUAACAUAUGAGGCUUUUGGCGCCUCGCAAAUACCGCACAUAACCCCACUAUGUUGCAAUUUGGUGAGAUGGAUCCUAACCCCAUCGAAAGAAAAGGAACAUAAUCCUUUCCCGGAGGGCGUGUUGGGGGUACCGUAAACAUAAAAAUUGGAUCAUAUUUGGUGCAUCCCGACCCUGAUUACCCUAUUUAGAAUUGUUCGGAAAUUCUUAAAAAUUUGGGGAUGUAGAAAAAACAUACUUCUACUGUGUUACAAGAUUCCAAAUCUCAACUCAAAACAUAGCUCGAGAAACGAAACAAAAGAGGCAAAUGUCAUGUAGCUAAUCCAAAUCGGGCAGUGAAUUUGGCAUGUUGUCGUUGUUAGCACUGGAUUUGUUCCUUUUCCCAUGCUUCAAAAAUUUGUACUCCCUCUGUAAACGCUCUUAUAUUUCUCCACGGGGAGUACCAUGACAGAUAUAUGUUGUGUGUAUAUUUAAUCUCAGAAGUCCCAAACACUACUUGAUAGGGAAACCAAGAUCAGAUGCACCGGUUGCACCAAACAAACCCCAAAAAAGGUAUUUGGAAUUUUAUUCUGAGCAACACGGCAAAAAAAUAAUUCCAUAUUUUGAGUUUAAAUUUGAUUGCUGAAACUGUCCGGUACGAAAAAAAACCCUAGUUACCGCCUGUAUUUAACCGGUAUUUUCUUGUAUCCGGUUUUGGAAUCCUUGCUUACGACUGAUUCUACUAAAAAAGUCAUGCAUCUCUGUUAACCUGUGUGCUGUGCUAAUCAGAUAUUUCUCUUUCAAUGGAUAAAACAAUUGCAGUGAUGCUUAGCUGCAUCACAGCACUACUAGCUCCAAUUAUACAACUCACGGCUGCUUUAAAGCUCCACACUUGUUUUUUUAAAAAAAAAAUAGUGUUUGGUGCAGAUUAGAGGCGCGCCACAUAAUCGAAGUGGAUAGAACGUGGCAAGCGAACUGAAUCAACAAGCUAGGCAGUAUCUUAGGGUUCUGAAGAGGGCACUACUUUGCCUAGCCUAUAGCAGGUCAUUGUUUUCUGAUUUGCCAGUCCAGUUCAAUUUUUUCAAGAUUUUGAGAAAAUCAAUGAGAAUUAUAGCUGUCUCUGAUUCCUCAUAUCUCAAUUCUUGAUAAAAUUAGGAGGGUGUUGGCUCUUAAGUAGCAAGGGGUUGCUUUAGUGGUGCUAACUCUGCCCCCCUGAGUCAUCAAGGAAUAUGCCGCCCCUUCGAGGCCCCAAACCGCGAUCUCAGGCGGUGACGCACGCCUUAAUAUCAUAUCAUAUUGUGUACUGGCUAACCUUUGGAAUCAGUCAGCAGUACCUAAAGUAGUGACCCCUUCCCUGGCAGAUUCUUGUGCGCGUUCGGUGGUCAGCACACUGCUUACUCGGAAAGUGGAUGCAGAAAACUGGAACCGCUCGGUCGAUCUUACCGGCCUUUAUAGUUUUUUUCCCCUUCAGAAAUGAUGGUUGACAUUGUUUCUCCAAUUUAUAUUCUAUUGGUAUGUGUUGUGCUCGGCAUGUUUUGCGAAGCGAGCAUUCUUUUUUUUUACCACGAUGGUACCAAACAUUUGCUUUGGUUCUGCGGUACCAAGAAAUCGGAUAUAUCUACUCAACUAGCAUAGCAAGCAAGUCAACACAAGCAAUUGUGAGCAAUUGGGCACCGAAACCGUGUGCCAGUUUAAACAAUCCGCAGAGGUUUGAUAUGGUGAUAUAGGGGUUCGGGAAUCUCUGAUGCAGAUGUUGCUGAAUCUUGAGGCAAAACAAGAAGCAAACUUCUAUUUUUGACCAUUUUAUGCGGCAAAUAGCGGGUUUGUUCUUGUUGUUUAUUCUGAGAGGGAAGCAAAGUUGUAUCUUUGCUCAAUUAUGCGGGGAACGGCAGAUGCAGCGCAACCUCCAAGCUAGAUUCAGACCUGAGAUGGACACAGGAAGUAACUUAUGUUAACAUGUUAUGUGCUGUCAGGGUGAUGAUUAUUACUUACUAAACCAAUGGGCUCAAGUUGCCGGUACGACUAGAACUCGAACCUCGAAACACCAAUCAUCGGCAACCUGUAGAUAGUAGCAGCUCUACCUAUGUAGCAAACCACAAAUUGGCCGUUUCUGUUUCUCAUGCAAAUGUGUGUGUGUGUUCAGCAAGUUAUCUGAUCUUCCACAGCAACUGGACAGUUGGUGAGCAGAGAAUAAUUGGCCCUUUUUAUAAUACUGACGACUUGAGCGUAUCGUCGGCACCGAGGGAUCAUGUUGCUUCAGGGUUCACAAAGGACUACCUUGCCAACCGGCCUUUGCGAAUUCUUUUGGGACGCAGCGAACAGAUUCGAAAGAAAUGUGUGUUGUCACCUUUGUGCUACUAGUAGUGCUACUACUGAUCUGAAGAAUCUUAAGUAGUAGGAGUAGUACUGAGAAGCAGGCACAUGAUGGAUUUCCCAGAGGCUAUUUAAUUUAGCCUUAGGUACUAAUUACUGUCCGUAGAGGUUUAGACAUCACAUAACCAAGAGUCUGAUGAGAUCCAUGGCACAGAAUCUUCAUCAUUUAGCUUAGUAAUUCCUCCUCUCAUCCCUGAAGUGUGAAUAGGGGCAAGAUUCCAUUUGAUGCCCAUCAAACACCUCCACUGCGUGGAACAAACCGAGACGCCACAAACUCUCGAGUACUGUCUGAAAUAGCAACGGAUGCCACUAUUCAAAACAAGCUGCGAAUUAGAAAAGUAGAAAGUGGAGGAUUGCGCAGCUCAGCCAGGCUACUUUCUUGCUUACAUCAAGCAGCAAUUGUUGAUCAGUUCAGUCCAAUCAAGCCAGUGCGGUGUGGACGCAAGCAACCCCGAGAACCAAUCAUCGGUGAUAACCGCUCAUUUUAACAUGCGGAGUUGGAUUUGUUUAAUGCCCAGUCUCGGAUGCCACUGCUUGAUGGUAGCUUAGCCUGGCUACUUUUGACUGGAAGAGCCAUCUGUGACACCAUACCGGCGUUGCAAGUAAGUGCGAAAGGCGUUAGAUGCCCCUCGCGAAAAGAUUAAGGAAACUAAUAAGAAGAGAUCCAGAGAUACUACUGUUUCUUGUGGCAUUUGGAGCAGGCAUGAGACGUUUGAUACAUAAAAUCAUCAUUAAGAAGGGCUAUCUUCAUAGAUCAUCUGUGUAUUUAAUUGCAAUUCCAGGUUGCCCCACCAAUCAGCCUAGCUAGCCAUGACCGAAACUGAUGCGAGUACUGACACAAGUAAACUCUACAGGAUUCAGUGGGCCACAACAAUCUAUCCCAAGGAAAGAAAAUUAUGGGAUCUUAAUCGACACAAAAGUACCGUGUCGUCAUAAUCUACAAAAAACAAAAAAAAGAAAAGGAAAUAGUAAGAAGUUUCGACACGAAGUACCAUGCAUGUCAUAUAUAAUCUCAUCUGAGUUCUCAACUGAUCCUUUUUUGUUUUGUUUUUUGCUUUCUGAUAUGAAGUGCACUUGUUGAUGUCCUUCCUACCAUACAUUUCAAAGAUUCUGCUCUUGAAACCUUCAGUCUCUCCAAAACAAGACAGGUCUGCAGAAGAGGAAACAGUUGACCUUGAGGACAUAAAAAUGCCCUCUUGAGUCAUGUGCAGAGGUCAAACCUGAACAAGCCCCUCUGGUUGAUCUGAGCUCAACUACUGAUCCGUGCACAGGUAUUUUCGUACGUGCAUCAUCAUGCUACAUAUUUUUUUUCUUCUGAUAAUCCAAGGGAUGCGUCGAGCUCGCGACGCUCUAGAGCGGCUCGAUCUCGAACCGCUUGCAUUGCAUCUGAGGCGAGCAGCGGCGUCGAGGGGGAUACUCGAAGCCGCCGUUGCUUCCCUCUUCGUCUAUCUCUAGGGCCAACUUGUGCAUUUCUUUAACCGGAUAAACAUAAUACUAGAUUAAGUGUCACUACUGGCUAGCUACUACUGGGCGAUUUGUUUUAUGGUGCAAAUGGCCUAUAAAUACAGCUGCGGCUUGAUGCGUUUCUUCUUCAUCAGCUGCUUCUUCAUCAUCAUCAUCAUCAUCAUCAUCAUCUUUAGAGUUUGAGGGAUCGAUCAGUUGGGUUCAGAGCAAUGACGAAGCGGUUUGCUUUGGAGCAGAAGGAGAUGACACGCAUGCUCUUGCUCGUGUCGCGGGAGCAGGCGAUGCCCAUGCCGAUGCCGGUGGCGGCGCGCGGUCACCGCGCCCCGGAGCGGGUGUUCGUGUGCAAGACCUGCGACCGUGUGUUCCCGUCGUUCCAGGCGCUGGGCGGCCACCGGGCCAGCCACAAGAAGCCGCGGCUGGACGACGGCGGCGACCUCAAGCCCAAGCUGCACGGAUGCUCCGUCUGCGGGCUGGAGUUCGCCAUCGGCCAGGCGCUCGGUGGCCACAUGCGGCGCCACCGUGCCAUGGCCGCGGGCGGAGGCGGCGGCGUCAUGCCCAUGACGCCGCCGACAGCAGCAGCGAUCAAGGAGCACGGCGAAAGCGGCGACGACGACGCGGUUGUCGGCAUGAAGCGCGGGCUGUGGCUCGACCUGAACCAUCCACCUUGCGACGAGUACGGCGCCGGCAGCGAGAGCGACGACGAGUGCGGCCACGUCGACGCAGCUGCCGCCGGGUACACGUUCCACCAGUUCAUGGAUACCGGCACCAUGGCGGUGGACUGCGUCUAGCUGCCCCGUCCCCCACUCCGUUGCCGGGUUUUUGCCGGAUAGCACAAUAUUUUCCUGUGUGUACUUUGGCAGUAACUUCUUCUUUUUUUACCCUUUUUCUUUCACCUUUUCAUGCAUGGAUAAAUCCAUAUUUUGUAGCAUGCAGUAGAUGAGUGCCCAGUGAGAGGCAUGCCAUGGCAGUACAUAAAAUCAUCUCUUUGAGAUGAUUAGUUUUGUGCCUAAUUUGGUGGCUUUGUAGGCUCACCAGAGCUAUUUUCCUCAGGUUUUCCGGUUAUUAUUUGCCCGGUUAUUACUGAAAAAAAACCUUUGGUCAAGUGGCUUAAUGUGUAAUUAUCCAGUUGAAGUAAAGUAUAUAUGGAGGUUGUGAUUCAUCAGUUGGUGCCCCAUGUCAUCUUGCCUCUUUUAGUAUGUUCUAAUAUAAUGUCCACUUGAAACCAGAAAUUGUCAUGUGGGAUCCAAAUUGAACCUUCAACCAAGGAACUUUCUACAGUAAAACCUUGAAAAAACAUAACACGGACUCAGACCUGGUUUCUAAGAGUGGCUUGUAUUUAUGACUUUCUAAAAAACCAGAGAAAUAUUUCAAAUAUUUAGGAAACGCCAUGACAUGGUAAUCCACAAAUAUUCAUAAAAGUAUAACCAUUUAUGUCAUGUGUAGAAAUCAAGAAAAGUUCAUUUCUCUCUUGUGUACGUGUUUGCAUGGAACACAAAUGGAUCAUGUUAGUUGGUUCAUUUUUUUCUUCAUGUUUCUAUGCCCCACAGUUCUUCGGUUUUCUAGGAAAUAUUUUUGGUAGAUGAAGCCACAGCCUCUAAACCUUAACCCGGUAUGUAGGUUUAGAAAUUUUCAAAAAGUGAAUAAAAACCUUAAAACAUGACAUUGCUAUCAAUUCGGAGCCUGCAUAAAAUCAUUAAACGUGUGAAAAUAUUUCAUCUUCCAUACGACCUUGUUCCCCGUAUAAACAUAGUUUUUAGUUUGACUGAAUGAGAAUCAUGCAAUAGGCGUCAGUAUAGGGAUCAGUACGAAAGCUAAGUGAUCGGACUAACAUAGAGUGCGUUUCUCCCGGGUAAGCUUAUGUUCCUGAUAUCUGAUACCUAUGUUUGCUCCUUAUUUUAUUAAUAACUGAUCCAAUUUAUAUGAAAAAUAUGUAGGUUGAAGAAGUUAUUAAGAAAAAUGAGUGGAAUCUUUCAAUAUGCUAUUCUUGAUACCAUGUUUUUUAUUCUUGAUCCUCGAGCCUAUCAAGUAUGGAUUCUAGGAUACAUAUAUCUUGUUGUUCUUGCAGAUGACACAGAUGCUCAUAUUUUUGGAUAAACUUGUGCAGGAUAUAAUCUCAUGGCAUUCCUAAAAUCUGCUAUUUUCUCUUUUUGGACUAUCCCCCAGAUGCAAAAACCACUAUCCAACACAAAGUUAGGUUCAAGUUUAUUAUUUUUAGAAAGUUUAGUAAUAUUUAUUGUUUCAUAGUUAAGGUUGAAGCUGGCCCAAGCACCAUGGUUGAGGGUUAUGGUAAAAUUCUUUAAUUACAAAGUACAUAUUAAAACAUAUUUUUAGCACAAUAUCAAUUCUAGCUAGCUGGCUGUAUUUAUUUAGAGAAAAGUGCACAUAUUAAACUGUUUUCUAUUAUCAGCAUUUUGCAUCAAUGCUCUCUUCCUUUUAGCAACAAAAUAUAGUAUGUUAUGAUCGUUGCUAGUAAUUCUACACUGAAUGCUCAUCAUGGUAGCAAGGUUAUCUCAAAUGCAUGUUGUAGUUAUAAGCCGAAUUACCCACACAAAUAUACAACCAGAUAUUCCAAUAGACAAAUUACUUGAUUUUCCAUUCUAUAUUUAUAAAUAGUUCUAAAAUAAUGCAUGGGUUGAUGGCUCAUCGUCAUAGCAAGACCUAUGGAUUGUUAGAUAAUUUUGUGAAAGCUUCAUGAAUCAAUUGGCAGUAGUAGUUUUGAAUAUUAGUAUGUUUGUUGUGAGGAUAUGAAUUUGAACAUAGGCCUUAUCACUACAGGAAAAAAAAUUGCGAGAUAACUUUGUGACUUCCCAUAUAUUCCUUUUGCGAGAUAACUUACAAUUUUUCCUCAUAUAUAGGCGUGGACACGUGGUGAGAUCUGGACCAUACGUUGAUUUAUUCCUAGAAGUAAUAUUUUUGACCGACUCCCACAAAUAAUUGGAUACCGGGUGCCCUACAAGUUGAAAUACAAAACCAAGUGUAGGAGUUAAGCUACCCUUCUCCUAUACUCUAGAUAGUUGCAUUAGUAGUAUGGAAAGCCGGUAUUCCCCCUAAUUAUGCAAUGCUUCAUGAGGUUAUGAUGAGCACACAAAUGUUGACAAAGCGCAAAGCAUCCCUAAUUAACAUUUCUAACACAGGAAUUGAUGCCUCUUCCUCUUGGUGAUUCCACCAUCAAGGAGAAGCGCGUAGAACUGUUAGUACUUAGUAUAUAUACUAAAGCGAUCGAAUCUUCGGGCCUGAAUUUCUCUAGUUUAGUUAGUUUAGCCCAUAGUAGUGCUUCUCAUAUGUGUGCAUGCAAAGAAGCAUACCUCCUUGCUCAUGGUUAAACAAGUGUUUAUCAAGAAGCAAAUUUGCAUUGCAACUCUCCUUGCAGCUUUACACGUAUGCUUAAUAAUAAUGGUGUACAUACGUACGUAUGCAGAAAACUGAAGCUGUUCAAGCAUGUUCCAGGUGAUUAACAAACUGCCGGCUGCUAACGUCGAAGGCAGCUAGAUCAGGCUCAACUCAACAGCAGGUUUGGGUUGGCAGAUGGACUUGGUCCAGAGGCUCACAUAGUACCAAACCCAUGCAAAUCUAUGCAUGCAUGGACUGUAUAACAGACUAAUUGACGUCGAUGCCAUGCAAAGAUGGUGGCUAGUUUAUUUUUUCAAAAAUAGAUUGUGGCUAAAGCCCUACCCCCAUCACUUUUCUAAAAAAAACUACCUCUUCAUGGCAAAUAUAUAUAGCAACUCAAAACUUUCUUGAGAAAAUUAUCGACAUACCGGAGUAAUUUCAUUGUAGAAAGCCCCGUUUUGACAAAGAUACCAGCAUCGUUCAUGUGAAAACGCACCUGAGCAAUCAUGUGACCAGAUUGUACAAACGGAGCAAGUUUUGCCCUAUGAUUCCUCAUAGACCGGCGUGCUUAUGACACGCACUGUAAUUUCAUAUGUUUAACGUGCUGUAAUUUCAUAUGUUUUUUUUUUCACAAGGUUGAGAAGGCAUGAAUACCGUCUAGAAAACCUUAUGAAACGAGAAUGGUGCGGAUUUCAUUCUCUUAUGCCCAACCAGAAGUAGGAACCCCCUAGCUUGCCAAUUUGAAUCGUGAACUUGUGAUUGAGUUUUAUAUUGAGUAUUGAGGAGCCUAGAAAUCACUCGCAAAGCAGGCUUAUAUUCUUCAUGUAGAGUAUCCUCAAGCCAACAAGAUAUCGGCGCCUACAUAUACUCCAAUGUGUGAGUUUAUAUACUCUCCUCCACCUUUCAAAUUAUAAAGUGUAUGCAUUUCUUUAGAAUUCAAUUUUUUCUAAGAUUGACAAAACGUACGUAAUGCAUUUUUUCAAUACGUACACGUUAUAUUUAAAGAGAGUGUAUUUUUUAUGCAUGUCAUUUUACCAGUAAAACCUGGAUGAAUAGCAAUCAAGCCUUUUAUGAACCCCACUUGGCAUCUCGAAAAAAGAUAUAUAAUGCACAAAACAUGGAAAUGCUGAUGACCAUGGGAUUCAUUAGCACCAAGCGCCUCGAAUGGAGAGGUGCUUUUCUUAGGAACUACUUCGAUCUAGGCGCUUCUCAAUGCGAUCCGGUCUCCUUUCUCGUCAGCAUUCUCGAGCUUCUGGAAGUGGAUGUGAAAACUAAGAAACUUGAAGGGACAAAUUCUCUAUUUGCUACAAAAGAAAAAAAACAUUCAUGUGGUACUUAUUUUAUGGGACACUCUUGUAGAAGUUAAUUUUGAGCUCAGACAACCUCUCGAAGGCGCGUAAAAUUAGGUUAAGAUGUGCUGCUUGGUACGGGCCAGAUAAUAUAUAUAUACCCGGCUUAUGUAUUACUAUAUGACUCGUUGGUUGUUUAACACAUCAGUUUUAAUUAAGGUGGCUUUUCGGCUGGAUGAAUCCACAAACUUGGAAGAGGCCUUCUCUUGAUACCUGCCAGCCAGCCAGCCAGCCAGCAUUGUUGGUGACUGAGUGAGUGCACAAGCUACGUAUCAGAUUCAAGAUACUGUUUCAUGUGGCUACUUGGGAGGGCCAUGAGGCGUUUCAUGGAUGAGCUCACCAUUCAUCAAGCAUGCAUAAUUACCUUUCCAGAUUGCGAUGUUGGUCUAGUCAUGAUGCAUGAGUCACCCACCGCCAACCCCAUGCAACUGACACACAGGUCAUGUCUGCAGUUAAUUAGGUGCUUCGGUGGGUCCAUGUUCCAGGAAUAUUUGGGGAUUAAUCCUCACUGACACAAGUAUGUUAUAUCAUCCCAUUUUAGUUUCCAAAAAGUUAUUAGUAUAGCUCUAUAUAUCCUCAACUUUCAUCACUAUCUUGUAACCGUAAGUAGUACAUUUUCUGCGAUGAAAGUUCUAUUGCUGUUGUACCGGCCGGGCUUCAUUGAAUCUUGGCAAGAAUCUGCAACUUGCGUGCGUCUAUCCAAAUUCAUAUUGGAUUUUUUUAGAAAAGGAGGCUGAGCCCCGACCUCUGUAUCGAGAGAUGCAUACGGCCAUAUAUUAUAAACCAAAAUAAGUCUCCAUCGAGUACAAUAAGUCUUAAGCAAAGAGAAAAUCAACGAUACAAGGCAUCACUCAUGCCCAAGCCGGAGAUAGUAGAAAAAAAUUCAUAUUGGAUACUGGAUCUAUUUUCUAUUUUUCUCAGUUUAUCUGAACAAGACAUGUUUCUAGAAGAGGAACAGCUGACCCAGAAUCUAAUUGGACGCCUGCAUCAUCAUCAUGCACGAUCUGCUGCUGCUAGGUAGCUGCUGCAUGCAUAUCUAUCCAUUGGCUAGCCCGCCCAAGCGAUCGAGAGAAAAGGAGGGACGCAUCAUGGUUCUUCCAUGGCGCCGCGUUACGUACGUGCAGCUACAGGAAGCGGCAGCUGCUUCUUGGUCGUCUUGUAGGGGUAGCUUGUGCUGUUUUGUUUAAUCGGAAACUCAUGCAGAGAUCAUUAGCUAGGGUCACUGCUGUGCUGCCUUGCUACUGGCUGAUUACUUUACGCGGCUUAGUUGCUUGUCUAUAAAUACAGACUCGGUUCGAUGCGCUUCUUCUUCAUCCAUUGCCAAUCUCUUCUCAGCUUCUUCUUCUUCUUCUUNNNNNNNUUCUUCUUCUUCUUCUUCCAUUUGGCCAUCUCAGCUUCUUCUUCAGCGCGCGGUUAGUGAGAAAUAAUGAAUAGAUUUGCGUUCGAGGAGAGGGCGCGCGUGCUGCUGCUCGUGUCGCGGGAGCAGGCGAUGCCGGUGCCGGUGGCGGUGCGCGGUGACCGCGCCCGGGAGCAGGCGUUCGUGUGCAAGACGUGCCACCGCGUGUUCCCGUCGUUUCAGGCGCUGGGAGGGCACCGUGCCAGCCACAAGAAGCCGCGGCUGGACGGAGACGGCGGCCUCAAGCCCAAGAUGCACGGCUGCUCCGUCUGCGGCCUCGAGUUCGCCGUCGGCCAGGCGCUCGGCGGCCACAUGAGGCGUCACCGUGCCAUGGUUGCGGGAGGCCACGGCGUCACGGCGGCGGCGGCACGGGCGGAAACGAUCAACAACCUUGACGACAGUGGCAACGCCGCUGUGGUUGUUGGCAGCGGGGGCGGCAUGAAGCGCGGGCUCUGGCUCGACCUGAACCACCCUCCGUGCGACGACGGCGACUGCGGCCAUGACGCCGCCGCCGCUGGGUACACCUUCCACCAGUUCUUGGAUGCCGGCACCAUGCCGGUGGACUGCGUCGGCUACUAGCUCCUCUCCCUCUAUCGCCGGGCAGUACAAUUAAUAUCUGUGUGUGUGUACCACUACCUACUACUUUAGGUUCUCUUUUCUCUCUUCUUCUUCUUGGAUUGGAUGAAGACAUCAAUCCACAUUUUGUAGUAGUAGAUGAGUGCCUAAUGGAAGGGCAUGACGCACAUAGUAGAUCAUGACAGUGUGCUCAAUUUGGUGUGGCUUGAGGCCCACCAGAACUAAUCACCUUGGGUUUUUUCUGUUAUUAUUGUUGAUGAGAAAACCUUUGGUCAAGUGGCCCAAUGUAAUUACUUUGUCAUUGUAUAAUAUAAAUGAAGCUAGCUUGUGGUUGUUUUUUUCCAUUUGGUGCAAGUGAGGAUGAUAAGUUUUUUUUUUUACGUACAAGCCAGGAGCACUCCCGAUUUUUUUUUGGAAAAAACAUCCACUAUAUUAAUUAAUUAAAAAAGGUUGUUACAAUCGUUUAUUACCAAAUUCGCCACGCAGAGCGAAAAAAUAUUAAGUAGAAUGCCAUCAGAUAUACUAAUGAAACUGUACUUCACAAUUUCGCGAGCCACUCCAUUGGCUAGCCGAUUAAUUUUCUCAAUUUUAAAAUUCUUGAUCAAGCUGGAUAUACUUAAGGCUUCUCUCUUCACAUCGAUGAGAGGAGACCUAUCAAGCUUCUCAUUUACAAGGAAAGAACGGAGAAAAACACAAUCAGUCUCUAGAAUAAUGGAUUGGUGAAGAGUAAUACCGAUAUAAAGGGCCGCCACGCAUGCACGCAGCUCAGCUUCAUUCACGCUGGUACACUAACCAAGAAAGUCCCACGGAGAAAUAAUAACUUCCCCAGAUGAGUUUCUAGCAACCAGGCCCACACUCGCGACAUUAAUGCUCUCUAUAUAACUGGCAUCGACAUUGAUCUUGAUAUAAUCAUCUCCUGAUUACAUUAAGAUAGAAAAAACAAAACCAGAGUGGCCUAGUUUAUGAGAGAAACUAGGACGAAAACCAUACACCGCACGAUGAUUAAGGGACAACCAUGUAAAAAAAUGACCAUGGUGCAAAAAAAUUGUGCAAAAAAACCCGACCAUGGUGCAAAAAAACGUCCAUGAUUAAGGGACAACAAUUUAUUAAGGAGUAAUUGUGCAAAAACAACAUAACCAUGGUGAUAUCUGCCAGCUCAAACUCCACCACUAACAUGACCACAACCUGAAGAUGUGUGGGGAAGCUCUUUGAAGACAUAUUCAAGAAGGAUAGGUAUACCCAAAGGUGCCAUCGCCACUUGCAUCGACCCCCGUCGAAGACUAAAGCUUCCGCCUAGAGCCACCCACACUAGGCCCACCAGACCUCGGGAAAAGUUCGGCCACACCAACAAUCACCAUGACGACUAUCGAACCAACAAAGCCACAAUCUAGUGAAGAGUAGGAACCCUUCAGCGACAACUCCAAGAGCAUCGUCGUCGUCACCCUUCCAUCCCCAUCGCACCAAGGCUUCCUCCCAGAGCCCUAAGCCCCUCCACGUACCACGAGCCCCGGGGAUGGGGUCCAACCACUUCCAGUAGAGAGCAAGCCGAAGCCGAGUUGCACUGGCAGUAACCGACCAUGGUCAUCGUAAUAACACAAGUUGGUGGUUUUAUCUUAGUAUAUUCUUAUUCUCUCACAAUAAUCACUACCGGAAUAACACUAAAAGCUGAGUAUCCAGUAUACACGACUAAUUUUAGAGAAAGAUCCAUUUUAACCCUAAAUUAUUUAUCGGUGAACAUAAACAUUAAACUUGAGCUCUCUUUACAUUAAACACUCGAAUUGCCGAUAGCAGUUAACAUGAACUCAACCCUUCUUUAAAAUAUCUUUGCAUUUGAGGUCUUUGAAAUUAGGUGGAAAUUUUCAUUUAUAUAGGAAAUUCUAUGAACUGGUUAAUUAAGAAACCAGCAAUUUUUUACCAUAUAAUGUUAUGAAAAUAAUGACAAGAAAAUUUCAUUAUCUCUAAUACUUUUGCGUGCAACACAAAUAAUCAUACUUUGUUAAUUUUCCGCCCUUCGAGUUCAAUAGUUGCUGUCGUGGGUAUAAGCCUGACAGUAGAUGUGUAGGGUACGAAAAGGAUGGGCAGAGUCCCAGCUACGGCGAGGUUGUAUGAGUUCAGGCCCCUCUACGGUGGAGGUAAUAGCCCUACCUCUCAGUGCUCAGGGAGCUUGUUGUCGAGUGGAAAUAUAGAGUACAAUGAGUUGCUAACCCCUCUACCAGCGGGGGAGGGUGGCUUAUAAAGAGUGCGCUACCCUUCACAACGGUUCCGGUACAGGGGUGGAGUAGUGGCGAUUGAAUGCAUACGUUACAGGUAACGUACGCCCUAAAUGCUAAUAAAUGCACCUGGAAACGUACGACCGUUUCCCUCUAGGGAGGUUACGAUGUACCGAGUAGUAGCCAGUCGGUUAGCUUGAUAUCCUCCGAAUGCUAGUCCCCGACCGGAUAACUGAGGACCUGUUACCGACUGGACGAUGGGGAGUCCUUAAUUCAGUCGGAGCUGACUAAGGGCCUUGUCCUUUGUGAGGGGUAGUCCUUGGGUAGGACCUACAGGGCAGGCCUAUGACCCUACCCUAGGACUAUAACCCCAUCAGUUGCUCAGAUUCCCCGCAUUCAUGAAGAUAAGCCAUCCAUCAAACCAUAACCUAGUUAUUAAGGGUCGGUUCACACCUUAAAUUUUUUGAAAAUUGAACUAUAAAAAUGUGAAUACAUCAUAUGCUACAGAUUGGGUGCCUGCAAAAACCCAUCCAUUAAUAUGACAACUAGUCAGCAUAGUAAUCCCGUAGCAUUUCAUACAUCUAUACCGUGUUCAACUUUUCGAAACAAACCCAUGUAUUAGUUACUCAAUUAGAAUUCAGUUUAUGUUGAGCUUGUGGUUUUUAACUUGGUGUAUGUAAUGUUGCAUAAAUUAUUAUGUUCUAUUCUUCCAAAAAUAUUAGUUUGAAAUAAAUAUUAAAUCUAGCUGGUGCUUUGUUUUUUAAAACAAUUUUUUUUUGCUUCAAAGUUGUUUGGGUCUUGUCUAGUCCCAUUAGUAAACCGGAGAAAUAUGCAAAAGCAAAUUACAUGUUUAGAUAAUUUUUUACCGUGGACAAUCUAAGAAAGAUUAGCUUGAAAUACAUAUUAGUUCUAGUUGGUGCUCCGUAGAAAAAAAGCUUAAAAGUUAUUUUGUUCUUCCAAAAAUGUUAGUUUGAAAUACAUAUUAAAUAUAGCUGGUGAUCCGUUCCCCCCGGCCCCCCAAAAGAUUAGUUUUAAAUACAUAUUAAAUCUAGCCAGUGCUCCAUUUUUCUUCUUCCGAAAAUAUUAGGUUGAAAUACAUAUUAAAUCUAGCCGGUGAUCCAUUCUUCAAAGAAAAAAGACGUUUCAAAGUUAUUCAUGUCUUCUUUACUCCGACUACUAAAUUGAAGAAUGUGCAAAAAUAUAUUGCAUCUUUAGAACUAUUUUUGACUGUAGACAAUCUAUGAAAUUCACCAGUCUCUAACUGUUUCUAAUGAUAAAUGAAUACGCCAAUUUCCUUCCUUUAAUAAUAUAUUGUUUAAUUUGAUGUAGUACAUAAACAUUACCAUGAAACCUCAAAUGGAUUUUAGUAUCAUGUGAAACCAUAUGAAAAAAAAGAAGUAAAUUAACAUCUAAGUACUACAUACGCGAACUAUGCACCAAUAAAACAGAACUAAUAUUUCUUUAUCGUGGGACAGAAAACAAAGAAAAAUAUUACGAUGGGUAAUGUAUAUACCUACCAUUUUUUCUAUUAUAGAUCAAACAUAUGACCUUUUGUCUAACCCAAAAGUUAAGGAAUUCUUGAAUGGUAUUCUAUGGAGACGUAUACAUCUAUGCAAAUAUAAUGUUUUUGUUAAUUUCUUUCAACUUUUAAAUGUGAUUUCAAGUUUUUUAAUUUUGGAGCUCAAUGAGCCAGAUCCACCGGAUGCUUGCUACUAUAGUGACAGAAUCUUACUCAUUGCUAGUAUCACAAGAUGAAUUCCUCCUGGAAUAUUCUAAAACUACUUUUCAUUCAAUACUAUAGUGCGUUUUAAGUCAUUGUGGCCACCAUGUAAAAAAUGUACUUAACUCACGUUAUGUUUCGACAAUUUUGCUUUCGUAAGGAAAAAAAAGCUAACUUGUUGCCUUAAUGAGAAGAAAAUGAUGAUCAUUAACUCUUUUUUUGAGAAGCCCAAAAGCUACAUAUUUAACCAAAUUCAAACCUUACAAGACACCCUUUAUUUUUUUACAAAAUCAGUUCAUGGAGAAUUCACCAUCGUCUCCGACUAGCACAAAUUGAUGGCACAUCAUGACCCUAGCUUGGUGUGGCACCUACUCUGCAUCGCUCGGGCCAAUGGGUCAUUAUAAUUAACCGCGAUAAGGAGUCACCAGACCUUGAUGCCAAUGACAACUAACUGACUAACAAUAGAAUUACAAGAGCUGUAAAAUCAUGUAUUCCUCAGUUUUUAUUUACUUCGCAUAUUAGCUUUGACUGAAGUCAAACUUUAUAAAACUUUGAGCAAGUAUAUACAAUAAAUUAUUAACAUCCAAAAUAUGAAAUCAAUACCAUUGGAAUUGGCAUGAAAUAUAUUUUCAUACCAUAUAUACUUUUUAUUUUGAAAGUUUUGUUUGUUUUUGAUAAACUUGGUAAAACUUUAUAAAAUUUGACUUAGGUCAAAGGUAAUAUGCAGAGUAAAUAUAAUCGGAGGGAGUAUUAAUAUACAUUUUUGCUCAGAUUCAUAGUUUCUAUGAAAAUCCUAAAAUGCCUUCUAUAUAUAUCGAAAUAGAUAGACCAUGCGACUAGAAAUUCAAAAAUGCUGUUAAAAUUAAGGAUCAUUACAAUAACAAAAAUCUUGUGUAGUGUAUUGAUAAUUGAGAUAAAAACGGAGACACUAUCCUACUAGGAAAAUAAAUUAAGUUAGAAUAUUGGUUUAAUUUUAUCAAAGUUUUGGUGGUUCUAUUAAACUGUUAAACCGGAAAAAAUACUGGUUGACGAUAGAAUUACAAGAGCUACAAAAUCACAUAUCUAUAAGACAAACAAAAUAAUUUCCACACGGAGACCCACAACAAACAUGCAAAAACACAAAACUAAGUUCAGUGAAACUAGUUGAAAUCUUAAUUAUGAACAUAACAAACCUUCUUUAAUUCAUACUGUAGCCGGAAUAGGGCAAAAUGUCCGUUGAACUCCACCGCGAGAAGAGUCGGCCCACAACAAGAAUAAUCAGGUUAAACCAGAAAAUAAUCUACGCAGAUGUUCGAUGGCAUCCCUAUGAGCUUGUCCCCGCUCCCGGAAACUGGGAUCCACGCCAUAGAUCACCAACUCUAAAGAAGUUGAAGAAAAGUACUGCCAUGGUUUACCAGAACACACGACCUAGAACCUCAAAUUGAUAUGACAUAAAUUUCACAUCUCAAUCGGCGCCUAGAAGGAAGGUCACCAUAUCUAAGGAAAAGUCUGUUAGAGCCGAGACAACCAACAAAAACACACCUAAAAGAAUAACCAAAAAUAGUUACCCUCCCCAACCUCAGGACGCCAUGCAUAGAGCCCGCCAAAUGGUGAGUGGGUUGGGGAGUGUUGUUUCACCGUUGUAAAGUGAUGGGCUGAAUCUUGAAAGGUGGUGUAGGGUUUUCACAAAUUAGUCUGCCUAGUUUUGAAAUAUCGAUGUGUGGCGACGAUGUAUCUGACGGUGUAGUACUGUUUCAAAUGGCCAACUUGGCAACUUGUAAGCCUUGAGGUGCGUUGAGAUUCAGGAAUCAACUGUUGCUGGCCAAUGGUAUCUAGCAUUAUGACCUAGUAAAUCAUAAGGAACAAUACUGCUUCCCUUGACAUGACAAAUAUGUUUUAAUGUUUUGUAAGAUUGGGUAUAUAUGAAAUGAAAACUCAGUAGAAACUUGGUAAUAGACAAAAAAUGACAUUUUCCACAUGAUUAUAAUAACCUUGAUGACUAUAACAUGAGCUCAUCGAUGUAUUCACAAAUGCAAACUAGCACCCCUAGUUUUCCUCAUAACAGGAAUAUAUUGCUCGACGAUUGAUUAUGUAUAGCUAUACCACUACUCUCCUGCGUCAUCCUGUGUGUCACCUUCAACAAGGAGCAGUUCUACUGGCUGUUGCUUCUAAAGUGAUCGGAUCUUUAAAUUAAACAAGUGUUGAUCGUCGAGAAGCAAAAUUCCAAUGCAACUCUUCUUGCUUAUAAUUAAUACUCCCUUUACUGUUCACAAUUAUAAGGUGUUUUGGAUAUUUUAAUAUAGGCUAUCUAUGUACUGAAAUGAGUGAACAUUCACACUGAAAUGCGUUUGUACAUAUCUGAAUCAGAAAAAAUUAAAACUUAUUAUAACGGUGAACGGGGGGAGUAGUAUAUAUACAUAGCAAACUGCAGCUGCUCAGCAGAGGCAGACACAAAAAUAUCCUAAUAUGUUGGAAAGAAAGAAAAAGCCGCAUGGAUAUCUCAAAUCAAAACUUGUGAGCUAUUGCAGCAGGUGAAAAUUAAAUAACUGGGGACGCAACAUACGCAUAUGCGAGAAGUAGAGAGCAUUAUGCUCUUAUCAGUUAUAAUUAUCCUUUGAAGGAUAGCUGAUUGAGAAGCAUCUUGCUAUUAUCAAUUUGUCACCGACGUCAGCAUGGUAUCAAUCAUUUGCGCAAAACAGGAAAGAGCAGGUACCAAUGAUUUGCGCAGAAUUAUUGAUUGAUAAGGAAAGUAAGUAUUCAAACUAGGGCAUACAAGAAGUCAAUAUGGAAAUAUCAGACACAUGUACUCUCCUUCCGUUCCUAAAUAUAAGUAUUUAUAGAUAUUUCAUUACGGACUACCUAUGAAGCAAAAUAAGUGAAUCUACAUUCUAAAAUAUGUCUAUAUACAUCUAUAUAUAGUUUAUAUUAAAAUCUUUAAAAACUUAUAUUUAGAAACAAAGAAAGUACGAUGCAUUCAUGCAUGCACGGACGUAGAAGGACAUACAAGAAAGGAAGUUACGCAUAACCUUGGGCAUGCCAUAAGUUUUGAGUGUUCUAGCCCACUCGACCAAAUCCGUGGGCUAAUUUACAUGUUCCAGCUCGAGAGGGCACGUCCUGAACCCAUGGACAUAUAAACCCAUUUUUCAAAAAAUGCAUUUUAAACACGUUUUGAAGUGUCAAAAAUUCAAAUAAAAAGUUCACAUAUAUAUAUUCGUAAAUUUUGUGAAAAAAAUGUCUUUUUGUUUUGUAUCCGCAAAAAAGACAAAUUUCAGUUCUUCUAAAUAACGUUGCACAAACACUAUUUUUUUGACUUUUUUGUACAGGCCAAAAAAUAAGUUAUUUUUUCGUGAAACUUUAUGCACACAAAUAGAACAUGGAGAUGUAUCCGUGCAACUUUUCUUCAGACUUUAAAGCAUUUGAAAUGGGUUUUCCGUAAUGGGUUCAUAUGUAUCCGGGUUCAUCCAUGCACUUUCAGGUCCAGCUCAAGUAAACCCCCUGGUAUUCUUUAGUUCUGUAUAUCUUUCCAUUUUUACACAACAUACUCAAUCUAAUCAUUUGAAGAUUUUUUUAAAGAAACACAGUACAAACAAUCGCGCGCGCGCACACACACACACACACUCCCUAUCAAUACACACACACACACCCUAUCAAAACACACACACAACACACACGCGCGCGCACGUUCCCACGCCCACGUCAUGCCCACGCAUAUGCACACACUACCUAUAUGAGCACCUUCGGGAGACGGAUAACUUGAAAUAAAUUCAGGAAGUAUGCGAUCACAUGUGCCAAGUCUAGGACUUGAACCUGAUUGGUCUGUUUUCACUACAAGUAAUCUAACCAUCUAAGCUAUACCUACUUCACAAUUCAAGAAUUCAUAUUGAGACUUUGUUUUUCACAUGACCCACCAUGCUAUGUUGCCUCUUUUAGUAUGUGUUUAUUCUUUAAAAUAUAUUUUAAUUUCAAUAUUUAUCAAAUCUAGCUGGUAUCCUAUUUUUAGCAGAACUAGGUAUGUACUCGUGUGUCGCAAAUAUCUAAAUACUUUUUAACACAAUAAUAUGACAACAUGGGUCAAAUCUUGAUGUAAACCAGAUAGAAAAAAAUAAGAUUAUGUUUUGGUUAUAAAAGCAUAGAUUCUCCGCAAUUGCUUAAAGUGAUAAAAUAGGUACUGCCUAUGAUUGAUCGGCUAUUUAUUUGUUUAUGGAUUGUGAAUUUAUUGUUAUUUAUCAGCUACAAAGAUGUCUGACUGGUAUAAAAUUUCACCAUAAGAAAUAAUUUCAUGAAUUUAUUGCUAGACCAUAGGUUGAUUUAAUAUUGGGUUACCGAAGAUUGGUUUGAUGAAAACCAGGGUACCCAUUACCCGCAUACUCGACGGGUAAAAACCCUAUUAGGGCAAGGGUAUGGGUCAAAAAAUACCCAUUGGUACAUAAAUGAGAAAAUUUUGAAAUCCAUCGGGUAUAGUGGGUACAUGUAUGGUUUAGUAUAACUCAUACCCGUGUACCCGUUUACCCGCCUAUAAUCCUGAAAAUAGGCCUUAAGUAUUAUUUGUCCACACAUUAGAUGCCUAUAAUCCUGAAAAUAGGCCUUAAGUAUUAUUUGUCCACACAUUAGAUGUAUUAUAAGUACAUAAUUCUUGCAACUCGCGAAUGCCCAGAAUGUGCUGAUGUUUAUGAGUAUGUGUUUUCUGUCAUGAAGUGUUGUUGUUUAUAAAUUAUUAUUACAAGUUGUUGUUUAUGACUAUGUAUUACUUAAAUUGACGUGUUUCAAAUCUGGGUAAUUGUACCCGCGGGUACCCAUUUACCCUGACGAAUGACGGGUAUGGGAAAAAAAUUGUACCCGUCGAUGCGUAUGGGUAUGGGUGAUGGGUAAGAUUUAAGGCGACGGAUAAGGAUACGGGGUUGCUCCACCCGUACCCAAAACCGGUGGUUGCCAUCCCUAACAAGAAGAGGAUGGAAAACCGAAAAAAAUCAGUGGUGGAUGGGUGGACAAACGAAGUGGUGGUGGGGAGAAACAUUGACGUAAGAUGGAACUGUACGUUCUUUUAAGUAAAGUAGAUCCAGUUCUUCCUCCCUUCGUGGGAUUGGUCUUGUACCUUGAUAUAUGUAUUUACGUUUGAAACAUGGCCAUAAAAAUGCUCUAAAAUUAAGAACGGAAUGACCUAUGAAAAAACUAGCAAGCGUAGAAACAUGAUGUUUGACGGCUGAGUUCAACCAAAUACCACAUCUCUAGUAGUCUUUAGCUGAGAUGCUUCGGCUGGCCAUAGUGGUAGUAACUUAAGUAGUAUCAUGUACUUGAGACUAACAAACAUGCUGCUGUGGCAGACAAUUAAAGAAAAGAGAGAGUGUGUUAUAGUAACAUACUCCCUCCUUUCCGGUUUAUAGGGCUCAUCUCAAAAUUUUUAGAUUUUCAUUAUAUUAGGCUCAUUUUGAGUCUAAGUGAGUUAAAGUGCUUUGAGUCUCACGCCAUAUUUAAUUCAUGGAGUUUAGAGAAAGGAGAUGAGUGGCUAUGCAUGCAUCGUUUUCUACAUCCACCAUGCAAGUCCAAUGAAAGAAAGGAUGCCACAUUUAUUGCCUUGGAAAUUGCAUUUGUGAGAAAUAUUUCAUUGGCUAGUUUAAACUAGUGUCAUCCACUCACAAUUCACCUUGAUAGAUGAGAUUUCAGAUUUGAGCCCUAUAAACCGGAAAGGAGGGAGUAGGUAGAUACCGUAUCAUGUUAAAUGAUAUGCUAUUAUGUGUCAUGCAUAUCAAUAAAUGAGGUCAUUUAUGAUACUAGUUUAUGAUACUAUGCAUUAUGAAGGUAGUAUCAUACAAUAGUAUCAUAUGCAUGAUACUAUUAUAUGAUACACCCCACUAUGAAUAGCCUUCUUCAUGUGACAUAUGCCCAAAUUUGCAUAUGCUUGCCCAUGUACAGCUCCUUCCGACAUGCAUAUUGAACACCCGACAAUACAUAUUGUGCUUAACAUGGUGUAGUAAAAAAUGGUUUGUGGUGUCCCACCUAUUCUUUGGUGUUGCUCACUAAGGCUACAAUAGGAAUUUUCUUAUACAUACUUUUUAAAGUAUCUACCCCUUAUAUACUCCCUCCAUUCCUUUAUAUAAGGUGUGUUUGUUUUUUGAUAAAAUUCCGUAAGGUAAUGUGCAUUUCUUGUAAAUCCUUGUAAUUCCCUUAUUAUCUCUCCAACAAAAGGAAAGUAUCUCUCAUGAUUGUCUGUAUCUCUCAUUCUAUAAAAAAAAACUAUCUCCCUCUCGAUUGUGUGUAUCUCUAACUUUCCUAGACUCAUUGAUUUACAUGUCACUAACCAAUAAAUUUGUCAAGGGUAAUUUUGUCCUAACACCUCUAUAAUUAUGUGUUUUGAUCACCGUGCUGAAAAUUAUACACCUUACAUAAAGGAAUGGAGGGAGUAAUUAAGAUUUUCUAGCCUUGUAGACUAGUUUUCAACCAUAUUCCAGAUCAAACUACACAACCACGAUAUAAUUCAUAUGUUUAAAUGAUUGCAAUUAUGUGCUCCAUGGGACACACACCUAUGAGCAAUACAUCAUAAUCAUGUCUAAACUCUACUAAUCACACAUUACAUUAUUAGAGCUGUAACUUCAUCUAUGACCUAAUUCCUUUCAAUUAUGAACGUAUCCGAGUAGUCUUUUUAAUAUUCACGCAAAGUAUAUUGCAUUCCAUUGAUAUUCGACUAGCUUCCUUAAGCAUAUACUCCCUUCGUUCCUUUAUAUAAGUUGUAUUUGUUUUUUGAUAAAAUUUUACAAUGUAAGGUGCAUUUCUUCUAAUUCUUCGUAAUUCCAUCGCCAACCCUUCAAAAAAAGUAUCUAUCCGCUGAUUGCAUGCAUCUCUUUUUGUACAGAGAAAAAAAGAAAAUUAUCUCUCUCCCUCUCUCUUGAUAGCAUGUAUCUCUUGCUUGCCUAGCCUAAAUGAUUUAGUUGCCACUCAUAAUGAUCUAGCCAAGGUUAAUUUCGUUCUAACAUGCGCAUAAUUAUGUCUUGGUCACCGUGACGAAAAUAAUACAGCUUACAUCAAGGAAUGGAUGGAAUAAUACUUAAUUACACUCCUGGAAGUAAUAAUUACAUGGUAAACAAGUACAGAAAUUCCAUGCAUACAUUAGUAGAUGUAUAAUUUCAUAAUUCAAUGAACCGUGUAUCAAUAAUUCCAACCCAUUUGGAUAUAUAACUCUCUCUCUCUCUCUCUCCCUCUCUCCCUCUCUCCCUCCCUUAUAAUGCGUUUACGGUUCCAGAAAAACACGUUUUGCGGCUGGCGCAGGCUGCGGCCGAACAGACUCGCUAUGAAUUUUUUGUUUUACAGUUCUGCGAUGCGGGGUCUGUUUGGCCGCAGCUCGUGUCAACCCGCAAACCAAAAAAAAUCAAAUUUGAAAAUUUAACCUCAAUUGUGACCAUUGGCUGCAAAUUUAAACAAUUAAACAUAGUUUCUGCAUAAAUUAACCAUAGUUUGAAACCAUGACGUAAAAGAACCUCAUGCAAAAUCAACCGCCACCUUCACCACCAUCUUCAUCAUUGUAAUCUCUCUUCACCACCGCAAUGGCGAAUAGUGAAGAAAAUAAAGAAAUCGAAGUAUCAUACCUUGCACCCAUUUUGUCGAACACGUUGGCUGCGCCGGCAGCAUAGUCGUCGACCAACAUCCUUAGGGUAGCUCUUGCCGGUGCAGUUGGGAAGCUGUAUGUGGGGUAGCUCUUGCGAUCGCCUUCUUGUGUUUCAAACCCGCCGCCUUUCCUUUCAGGGUCGUCGCCGGACGUACCGGAUUUGCAGCGGUGCGGCGGCGGGCCCGCGUGCCAUUCCGGUGGGGGCUGCAACAGCGCCACCCUAGACGAUGAUGUUGACAUGCUGCUUGCGGGGUUGCGCGAUGGAGCCUUGAACAACGAUGAGCGCGAAAUGGACGACGACGAGAUCUGGCAGACGACUUGCCGCAUGGAUGACUUCAACGGUGACGGACGACGACUCGGAGGCUUCCAUGGCGGCAAUGGGUGACCGGCGAUAGUGGUCCGGAGCGGGCGGAGGUGGAUCAAUGAUGGCGAAGAUACGACCGUUCGAAAAUGUCACUCCGGCCAAAAAUCGUUGCCGUUUGGGGAUCAAUUCUGGGUCGGGCUCCUAGCCCGUGAAUCUAAAGGUUGAGGACGAAUAUUUACCAUGGCCCGCAAUAUUGUUUUACAGACCGAGACCCGAUACGGAUCUGUCCGGGUUACUUUUUCUGUGCAAAACCCUUAACUGGCGGUUAUUUUGCAGGUUGUUGGGGUGAUAUAGGGGUCUGCUAGAGUUUCUCUAACUCCACUAUCCACUAUCAGGCAAUGAUGGCAUUGUGAGAUAGAAUACAUAUGCAUAUUCUUCAAGUAUGCAUAAAGUUUCAUCUACUAAUUUUAUUAUUUGCAUGCUGCACAAAAAAGACAAAUAUUAGUACCCCCAAUAAAGGCCUAUUUUAAUCCAUGUAUUUGUCUUUUUUGUGUGUACAUCACAUAUUAACAUAUAUCUUUAUGAAAUUUUAUACAUGUAUACUAAUGUCUAUGUAUGUUUUUUUCAGAUUUUUUUAUAUGUAAAAGAAGUAUUUUCAUUGAAAGAUAAAUAAAGAGCUAUAUGGAGCUCGGUUGCUGCUUGCACUUUUCAGCAGUUCUACCGUUACUAACUUGAACUUCUAAACUUCCCUAGAAAAAGAAAUUGAGCCUCUAAAGCGACCGAAUCUUUAAACUAAACAAGUGUGCAUGAUCAAGAAGAAAAAUCUGAACGCAACUCUUCUUGCUUGCAGUUGCAUGUAUAAAAUUAGUAUAUAAUAUACAUAUACAGCUCAUACGUAGCAAACUGCAGCUGCUCAAGCAGAGAGCGACACAAAAUAUAUUCUAAUGCGUGGGAAAGAGAUCAUGAAAGCAAUUGAAACGGUUUAAUCCAUUGAGCGUGUGACGUCUUAAGUUUUGGCUGUUGCAGCUAGUAAUUAAUUCUUAGGGAGAAGUAAGGGAGAUCAGCAAGUUCCAUUAUGCUGCCGUCCAAAGGAAAAGUUUCAUUUUGCUCUUAUCAUCAUCCUUUGAAAGCUGAUCGGGAGAAACUUUGCUCGUAUCCAAUAUGAUACGCAUGGAAUUAUUGAUCCAGGAAAUUAACUUAACUUCGCCAUUGACCCGGCAAUUGCAUGCAUAGUAAAAGACAGAUACACAACACGUGACUUCCACUGUCAUAAAAUUUCAAGUCCAAAUUCAAUAUAUAUAUACAGGGUCGCGCUAUUCGUCACCCUGGGUGAGGAAUAUUUAUUGUUCACCCCCACUAUUUUCACAUUAAUACACCGUAAUUUUACGUUUCUUAAAUUUUAAUCUUAUCUCAUACGUAAAAAUAGACCGUAAAAAAAUACAUAGUCACCGCAAAAAAUAUUUUAUGUCACGUAAAAUUAGAAACAUAAAAACAUAGUGUAAAUUAUACAUAAAAUGCGAUUUUUCUGGUCUUAUGAUCUAUAUACUCCCUCCGUCCCAAAAUAACUGUCUCAAGCUUAAUGCAAUUUUAUACUAGAGCUAGUACAAAGUUGAGACACUUAUUUUGGGACAGAGGGAGUAUUUGUUUUCUUAUGGCAAAUUUUCCGUAGUUAAUCAAUAUAAAUGUAUCUAUUUGCAUUUCAAAUUUAAUUUAUUUAUGAAAUGGUCGUAAAAUUACCUCGAGUGAGGAAUAAUUUAUUCUGCACCCUGGAUGAUGAAUAGAGUUUCUAUAUACAUAUAUACAUAUAUGUAUGUAUGUAUGUAUGUAUAUAUCUAUAUAUAUAUAUCUAUAUAUAUAUACACACACAUGUAACCAUUAGCAGUUAUUUUUCAGUUUUGGUUACGCAUAUUGUGAAUUUUAUUUUUUCACAACUUUGAGAGGCAUUUCAAUCGAGCUUAAUUAAGAGUACAAGCAGGGGCGAUGGGGGAGGGAGCACACCUGAUACAUUCCCACCCUAGCUCCAGCAAUAAGAAUGUCAUAUCAAUUAUAUAUAUUAGAAGUACUUGAUGGCCUCUCCGGAAAAAAGAGAAGUAGACCAGAAAAUUCCACAAAAAAUUGAAACAUUGAACCGUUUAUUGAAUAGACUAAAAAAAUCUAUAGCAAUUAGAUAAUUUUCAAAGUACAAAAAUUACCCGCAAUUGCCAUUAAAACAAAAACAUGUUUCAGCACUUCCUUAUAAUAAUAACAUGAAACUACGUCCAAAAAAUGCUAUGUUACAGUAAAAGUGAAGAGCUACUUAGGAUUACCUAAAAAGAAAAAUGAUCCAUCUCACGCGUACGUAUGGAUGCACUACAUAGAACAACAGCCUUGCUAUAUUCAUGCACUAAGUUUCAAAAAGAAAAAAACUAAGCUUGACAUGGGUUGAUGUUUUGCUAUAUAAACGCAUGCAUUUUUUCCAAUAUACAUGGACACAUGAAAAAAGACUUGUAUGCACAUCGCCUCCAAUGGGUUCUCUGGUCCUAAGAGCGCAUAAAAAAAAGUCCCCCGCAAAUAAAAAGAGCGCAUAAAAAACGUAUAUGCAUUGCCUCGAAUGAUUUCUCUUGUCCUGUUCAAUUGUUUGAUGCUUCCUUCGUUUCAAAAUAAGUAACUUAACAUUAAUACAACUUUUAUAUUAAAGUUAAUAUAAAAUUAAGGCACUUAUUUCAAAAUGGAAGAAGUAUGAUUUCUUAAUAGCCCCAACGUUCUUCCACGAGUAUGGAGUGGAACAACCAGACAACUGAAGGCAGCACCGAUGGUCGCGACAUGUCCAAAAAUAUACUGGUUGAGGGGUAUUCUUCCGUUUUCCGGCUACCUCCUCUCAUCUCGGUUCCCACAAUUCCUUUUAGCGGCCCAUUGUUUCCAGCUGGACCCUAGGAGUUUUGUGACGGCCAUGUUCAAGCCGUUCAUGCUAGCGGCCCAGUGCUUCGGCCCCAACGUAGCUUUUUACUUGAAAUCACUAAUUAGCGAAUACACCUUUCAAUGAUUAUUCUCACCUUCACAGAUUGUGACAGGUGACGCACUGCAUGCGUGUCAUUUGUCGCAACCUGGGAGUAUUUUUUUUUCGUAGAUCCGUAUUUUCAAAAUGUUUUUUUUCCUAAACCGUACAUCCAAAUCUCGAACCAUUUUCAUCGUUGACUUUCUCGCGUCGAGAUCUUCAAAACUAGAUCCCAUGUUGAUAGAUUUUUGACGAACAUUUUUUCACGAAAAAACCAGAAGAAAAAAACCGGGACGAAAAACCGUGCCUCACGAGAUAGAAAAAAACAGAAAACGCGUUUUUUCCUUUUCGAGAGGCAUGGGUCAUGCCUCUCGCGAAGGCAAAAUUGUGCCUCUCGCGAAAGCAAAACCGUGCCUCCCGCGGAAAAAAAGAGAGCAGAAAACGCGAUUUUCCCUUUUCGGGAGAGGCACGGGCGUGUCUCUCGCUUAGGCAAAACCGUGCCUCUCACAAAAAAAAAACAGAAAACACGUUUUUUCCCCUUUCAGGAGAGGCACGGGCGUGCCUCGCGAAGGCAAAACCAUGCCUUUCGCGGAAGCAAAACCGUGCCUCUCGCAAAAAAGAGAGCCGCGAGCGUGCCUCUCGCGAAGGCAAAACCAUGCCUUUCGCGGAAGCAAAACCGUGCCCCUCGAAAAAAACAAAAAACACGUUUUUUUUCUUUUCAAGAGGCACGGCCGUGCCUCUCGUGAAGGCAAAACAAUGCCUCUCGCGAAAGCAAAACCGUGCCUCCCGGAAAAAAAAAGAAAACGUGUUUUUUUCCGAAAAAAUUGAUUUUUUUUCGUCCAAAAGUUAUGAAAGACCGGUGAAAAACUGUAACACCAAAAAAACAGAAAAACCCACUAAAAAAGGCGAAAACGCAUGCGAAAAAAUAAAAAAAGAAAAUCCGAAGGAAACGCUCAAAACGCGACACAUGACGGCUGCUGAAAACGCGUCAAGUGACGACGUGCGGGAGCAAUCGCUGGAAGGCUUCCGAGGAAGCACUUUCUAACUAGUUGCUCUCCUUUUUACCAGUGUCGUUUGCUUCUAUGUCCAGGGUCACACGUGUCUAAUACCGAGACCCAGACAAAAAACAUGGAUACGUGAUAUGUAGGGUAAUACAACGGAAAAAAAAUUGACCUACGCACUAGCUCACGACCACUAUGAAGAUGCAUACAAGAUCUGAUCUGAUCAUUACUACCUCGUAACCCAGUGAAAGAAGAGUUGGUGAAGAUCAUCGGUGCAGAUUCCUGCAUCUAGGAUUUUAUAGCCUCCCAACCACGAGGAUGUACUCCCUCAGAUAGUCCUUCAGGAGGCUCUCAGAUUAAUCCUCGGACAGAACCUCAGGGUGUUUCUUGAAUUAAGAUCAAAACUACGACCCCUCUACCGGGUUGCACCCUCCGGUGUCAACUAUCCAGCAAAGCUUCGUCGUCCAGAGUUAGGCCCUACCGAAGACUAGACAUCCUUUCACCGUAUGAAACUAUUUUGCGGAGAUAGAAAUGGAAAGCAAGAUCAUUGCAUGGUACAUAUUGAGAGAGGACUUGGGAUGAAAUGGAGAGCUCUUUCCACCUCUAUCUAUGGUGGGAGCAAGGGGUAGAGGCUAUGUGAAGAAAUACCAAAAUGCCUCAAAUAUUUUUCACCAAAAGCAACAAAAGGGGGGAAAAUGGAGCUCCAUGGAGGAGCUCGACCUCCAACCGUCCAUGCAUGUGUGGGGCCCAGACACACCUCCCCAUGUCACCCUCCAUUGACUUUAGUGAAAAUCCCCAAAAGAUGGCUUUUCAAAAAGCUACAAAAAAUGGGUGUACUCCCUCCGUUUCUUUUUACUCUGCAUAUAAGGUUUGGUCAAAGUCAAGCUUUGUAAAGUUUGACUAACUUUAUAUUAAAAAAUAUCAACAUUCACAACAUGAAAUCAAUAUUAUCAGAUGCAUCACGAGAUGUAUUUUCCUACUAUAUAAUUUUACUAUAGUAGAUAUUCAUAUUUUUUAUAUAAAUUUGAUCAAACUUUAUGUUGUUUGACUUUGACCAAAUCUUAUACGCGAGUAAAAAGAAAUGGAGGGAGUACCAUAAUAGUUUUGCCAUUAUUCAUGAGUAUUUUUAUGAAAUAAUUUUCCGUGACCAUUCAAUCUGACAAUAUUUUGAAAGGUCCAGAACAGUUUCGGCAAACCCUUAAAAUAUUUUUGGACGUGUUUCGAAACAUUUCCUGUAUGAUGUUUUUAUAUCUGAAACAUUUCCAGUUUUCUCUCCGAAACCUCUCCUCGUCUCCGAAACUUUUUCGAUGACUUUCUAUGAGACUCUAUGUCUAUUACUUAGCAGAUAGAUGACUCUUAAAUGUGUGACCCUGUAAGCUCGGUGAAAUAUAGACAUAUGACCGGAACUCUUUCCAAUCAAUGAUCAAUAGUGGAACCGUGAAGAUAGGCUUGAUCAUAAUAUAUACUUUGGAGAAAGAGCAAAUGCUAAGCAAUGAAACGACCAGUUCAUCUUUCAGAGAGAGAGUAGAAAUGCGAUUAAAUGGAAAUUUAUUGGAAAAAUUUGUGAAUGGUCACACGACAAUUUGUUAUAAAUGUUUAACUUAUCACAAGGGUGAACAAAAUUCUAAUCAUCAUAUUUGAAAACAAAUUCUACUAUUUGCCGUGGGACAUUCCAAAACAUUCCUACAAAAUGCCAUAAGAAUAAUUAUUUAUAGUUUACCAUGAAAAUAUUUUCGAAAUCAUUUCCAUUUGUAAACAUAAAAAAUCUAAAAAGUUACCUGCUACGGCAACAAAAGACCUUCCCCGGCUAUGGCACCAGGAAUCCUUCUCCUGGUAGCUACGCCUACACGGACUUCCUUGCCAAAUAUGCAAAGAAUCCCCCGUGGCCUUGGAGCCUUGCGUUGGUGUUCCCUUGAAGAGGAAAGGGUGAUGUAGCACUGCAGCAGUAAGUAUUUCCCUCAAUUUGAGAACCAAGGUAUCGAUCGAGUAGGAGGAUCGCAUCAAGUCACUAGUACCUGNAUGAUGUAGAUGGACAAUUUCAAAUCUAUGAUGAAAGCCCAUCUUGUUACCCUUGAUGGAAACAACACGAUGCGUGCCUUGCUGCCCCUUCUGGGAAAGGUCACCGCACGGUAUGAACCCAAAACCAAGCACUUCUCCCAUUGCAAGAAUCAUAGAUCUAGUUGGCCAAACAAAACCCAAGACUCGGAGAGACUUACAAGGAUAUCAAAUCAUGCAUAUAAGAAAUCAGCAAAGACUCAAAUAUAAUUCAUAGGUAAUCUGAUCACAAAUCCACAAUUCAUCGGAUCUCGACAAACACACCGCCAAAGAGGAUUACAUCGGAUAGAUCUCCAUGAAGAUCAUGGAGAACUUUGUAUUGAAAAUCCAAGAGAGAGAAGAAGCCAUAUAGCUACUAACUACGGACCCGUAGGUGUGAAGUAGACUACUCACGAGUCAUUGGAGAGGCGAUGAUGUUGAUGUAGAAGCCCUCCAACUCCAAAGUCCCCUCCGGUAGGGCACCGGGAAGGGUCUCCAGAUGAGAUCUCACGGAAACGGAAGCCUGCAUCGGCGGAAAAGUGUUUUCAUGGAUGCCCUGAUUUUUUCUGGGAUUUUAGGAAUUUAUAGGCCAAAGAGCUAGGGCAGGGGAGCGUCAGGGAGGCCACAAGCCUGGUCGCCGCGGGCCCCCCUGGCCGCGGCGUCAGGGCUUGUGGGCUCCCUGUGGGCCCCCUGCCUUGGCCCUCAAGUCCCCCGAUCUUCUUCUGUUCUGGAAAAAUUUAUUUUGGCGAUUUUAUUCCGUUUGGACUCUGUUCGAAAAUCAGAUCUGAAAAGAGUCAAAAAACAGGAAUUGGCACUUGGCACUGAAUUAAUAAGUUAGUCCCAAAAAAGAUAUAAAAGGUAUAUAAAACAUCCAAAGUUGACAAGAUAACAGCAUGAAACCAUCAAAAAUUAUAGAUACGUUUGAGACGUAUCAAGCAUCCCCAAGCUUAACUCCUGCUCGUCCUCGAGUAGGGAAGUGAUAAAGAAUGAAUUUUUGAUGCUUUCAUGCUACCUAGCAUAGAUGUCCUUUGUAACUCCUCUUAUGUGACGUGAAUGUUCAGAUCCAUUAGAUUCAAAACAAUAGUUUGCUAUUGACAUGGAGACAAUAAUACUUCAAGCAAACUAGCAAGGUAAUCAUGAACUUUCAAAAUAACAAAGCCAAAAGAAAGUUAUCCCUACAAAAUCAUAUAGUCUGGCUAUGCUCUAUCAUCCUUGCACAACGAAUUUAAAUCAUGCACAACCUCGGUAUUGGCCAAGUAAUUGUUUUCACAUCUUUACUUUUUCAAACUUUUUCAACUCUCACACAAUACAUGAGCGUGAGCCAUGGUUUUAGCACUAUAAGUGGAGUGGAGUGUGGUGGAGGUUGCAAGACAAACAAGGAGAAUAUGGUCACAUUGACUAGGCAUAUCAAUGAGCUAUGGAGAUGUUCAUCAAUAGAUAUCAACGUGAAUGAGUAGGGAUUGACAUACAAUUGAUGCACUAGAGCUAAGAGUAUGUGAAAGCUCUUAAAGAAAACUAGUGGGUGUGCAUCCAACUUGCUUGCUCACGAAGACCUAAGGCAAUUUUGAGGAAGCCUAUUAUUGGAAUAUACAAGCCAACUUAUAUAAUGAAAAUUUCCCACUAGCUAUAUGGUGGUGACAAAACGAGAGACUCUCAAUCAUGAAGAUCAUGGUGCUUAAUAUGAAGCACAAGUGUGGAAAGGAGAUACUAGCAUUUUCCCUUCUCUCUUUUUCUCUCAUUUUUUUGUGGGCUCUUUGGCCUCUUUUUUUAUAUAUUUUUUAUUUUGGUGGGCAUCUUUGGCCUCUUUUUGUAAAUGGGCUUCGCUGGCCUCUUUUAUUUCCUCACAUGGGACAAUGCUCCAUCAAUGAUGAUCAUCACACUUACAACUCAAAACUUAGAGCAAUGAUGACUCUAUAUGAAAUGCCUUCGGUAGUGUACCGUGACAAUGAUCUAGCAUGGCAUAAACAUCAAUGGAAACAUCAUGCUAGCUAUCUUAUGAUCAUGCAAUGGCAAUGUAGAAGUGGUGGCACAUGUCAUGGUGGUAGUUGCAUGGCAAUAUAUCUCGGAAUGGCUUUGAAAAAACCAUAAUAGGUAGGUAUGGUGGCUGUUUUGAGGGAGGCUAUAUGGUGGGUUUUGUGCAUCGGCGAAAGUUGUACGGCACUAAAGAAGAUAGUGAUGGUGGAAGGUGAAAGUGCAUCUAAACCAUGGACUCAACAUUAGUCAUGAAGAACUCAUAUACUUGUUGCAAAAGUUUUAGUAGUAAUCGAAACAAAGCAUUCAACGCAUACUCCUAGGGGAAGGGUUGGUAGGUAUAAACCAUCGCGCGAUCCCGACCGCCACACAAAGGAUGACAAUCAAUAGACUAAUCAUGCCCAGACUUCAUCACAUAGCGGUUCACCAUACGUGCAUGCUACGGGAAUCACUAACUUCAACACAAGUAUUUCUAGAUCCACAACACCUUACUAGUAUAACUUCAAUAUUACCACAACCAUAACUCAAAACUAAUUGAGAUGAAUCAAACUUCUCUAACUGUUCAAUGCACAUGAAGGUGGAAGUUUUCAUAUCCCUUUGGAUAAAUUCCCCUUUUGAGACUACUUUCAUAGCAUAAGCCAACUACCAAGACACGCGCUUCCGUGCUCUAAAAGAUAUAAGUGAAGCACAGAAAGCAAAAUCAACUAGCUCAAAAGAUAUAAGUGAAACACAUGUGAGCUGAAUUGUCUAACCAAAGGAUAUAAGUGAAGCUCGACAAAAUCACGGUGAGUGCAUGUCUCUCUCUCUAGGCGUGCAACAAGGAAGAUUGUGACACAACAAAAAUAAAAGACUCCUACGAUACAAGACACUCCAAGCAAAACACAUAACAUGUGGUGAAUAAAAAUAUAGCCCCAAGUAACGUUACCGAUGGAUUGAAGACGAAAGAGGGGAUGCCUUCCCGGGGCAUCCCCAAGCUUAGGCUUUUACGGUAUCCUAGAAUCAGCUUGGGGUGCCUUGGGAAUCCCCAAGCUUGAGCUCUUGCCACUCUUUAUCUCUUUGUCCAUAAGAAAUUCACCCAAAACUUGAAAACUUCACAACACGAAACUUAAACAGAAACUCGUGAUAACAUUAGUAUAAGAAAGCAAACCACCACUUCCUUAGAUACUGUAGCAAACUUAAAUUCUACUUAUGUUGAUGUUGGGUUACUGUAUUUUCAAUCUUCCAUGGCUAAUACCCCCCGAUACUAUCCAUAGUUUCAUCAAAAUAAGCAACCAACUCAACAAAAACAUAAUCUCUUAACAGCAGACCAGUCUGUAGUAAUCUGUAUACUUCGUUUACUUCUGUUACUUCAAACAUUCUGAAAAAUUACGACAGCCUGAAGAAUUUGAAUAGCAAUCAGAAGCAAAAAGAAUCAACUCAAAAUCUCUUACAGAAAAAAAAUGAAAAUUCUUUUCGUGAGGAGAAAGUUUCUGUCUUUUCCAACACGAUCAAACGAUCAUCCCCAAGACUAAUCAUAACGGUUUUACUUGGCACAAACGCAAAAGAAACACAAAAAACACAAUCAUAACAGAAUUAUGAAAGUGUGGAAAACACAAAACAUAAAGAAAAAGGAUAGAUUCGUUGGGUUGCCUCCCAACAAGCGCUAUUGUUUAACGCCCUUAGCUAGGCAUAAGGUGAUGGAAUCACGUAUAGUCAUCUUUGGUGCUCAAACCAUAAGUAGCCCUCAUCAUAGAUUCAUAAGGCAAUCUUAUUUUCUUUCUAGGAAAAUGCUCCAUGCCCUUCUUUAGAGAAAAUUGAAAUCUAAUAUUCCCUUCCUUCAUAUCGAUGAUAGCACCAAUAGUCCUUAGGAAAGGUCUACCAAGAAUAAUGGGACAUGAAGGAUUACAAUCUAUGUCAAGUACAAUGAAAUCCACGGGUACAUAGUUCUUAUUUGCAACAAUAAGAACAUCAUCGAUCCUUCCCAUGGGUUUCUUGACAGUAGAAUCCGCAAGAUGCAAAUUAAGAGAACACUCUUCAAUCUCAUGAAACCAAGAAUAUCACAUAAAGACUUUGGAAUCGCGGAAACACUAGCACCCAAAUCACACAAAGCAUUGCAUUCAUAGUUUUUGAUCUUGAUUUUGAUAGUAGGUUCCCACUCAUCAUGAAGUUUUCUAGGUAUAGAGACUUCUCAUUCGAGUUUCUCUUCAAGAGAUUUCAUCAUAGCAUCUACGAUAUGUGCGGUAAAGGCUUUGCUUUGGCUAUAAGCAUGUGGAGUGUUUGCAAUGGAUUGCAUCAAGGAAAUGCAUUCAAACAAGGAGCAACUAUCAUAAUUGAAUUCCUUGAAAUCCAAAGCGGGAGUUUCAUUACUACCCAAUAUUUUGAUUUCUUCUACUCCACUCUCGACACCUUUAUCAUCAAGAUAGGUGGACUCCGAAUCAUUGGGGCGUUUUUCAACCAAAGUGGAUUCAUAUCCAGCCCCUUCAUCAAUAGGUUUGACAUGCGAAAACAAAGAUUCAAGAGGGGUCACACCAAGCACUUUAAGAUCUUCGUGAUUUGCAUCACUAGAACGCACCCUUUUAAACCAUUCAUGCCUAGCGCGAAUUUGGGCGGUUCUUUCUUUGCUCUCAUUCAUGGAGACACGCAUAGCUUUUAAAGUUUCAUCCAAGUUGACCUUGGGAGGAGCACAUCUAACUUUCAAAGCAUCAAUAUCACAAGACAUCCUAUCAACGCUCUUAGCCAAAUCGUCUAUUUUGAGUAGUUUUUCCUCUAUGGACGCAUUGAAAAUCUUUUGAGAGUUGAUGAACUCUUUGAUAUUACUCUCUAAAUCAGAGGGUAAUUUGUUAUGAUUUCCAUAAGUGUUGUUGUAGGAAUUGCCAUAGUUGUUAGAGGAGUUACUAGGAAAAGGCCUAGGAACAUAGUUUCCUCUAAAAGCAUUGUUGUUGCCAAAAUUGUUCCUACCAACAAAAUUAACGUCCAAACUAGCGUUUCUACUCUCAAUCAAGGAAGAUAGUGGCAUGCCAUUAGGAUCUAAAGGAGCAUUUCUACUAGCAACCAAAUUCAUCAACUCAUCCAUCUUAGCACUAAGCGAGUUAAUUUCUUCUAUAGCGUGUACCUUUUUGCUAGCAAGUGACCUUUCAGUGUGCCACUGAGAGUAGUUGGUCAUGAUAUUGUCUAGGAGUUUUGUAGCUUCUCCUAACGUGAUUUCCAUGAACGUUCCACCUGAGGCGGAGUCCAAGAUAUUGCGAGAAGCAAAAUUCAAACCAGCGUAAAAGAUUUGUAUAAUCAUCCACAAACUCAAGCCAUGAGCGGAACAAUUUCUAAUCAUUAACUUCAUCCUCUCCCAAGAUUGUGCAACGUGUUCAUGAUCAAGUUGCUUGAAAUUCAUGAUAUCGUUACGGAGAGAGAUAAUCUUAGCCGCCGGAAAAUACUUGGAUAUGUAAGCAUCUUUGCACUUAUCCCAAUAAUCGAUACUAUUUUUGGGCAAAGAAGAAAACCAAGUUUUUGCGCGAUCUCACAAUGAGAAAGGAAAAUCUUCAACUUAACAACAUCAUUAUCCACAUCUCUUUUCUUUUGCAUAUCGCAAAGCUCAAUGAAGGUAUUGAGAUGGGAUGCGCCAUCUUCACUAGGAAGGCCAGAAAAUUGCUCUUUCAUAACAAGAUUCAGCAAGGCAGCGUUGAUUUCAUAUAAUUCCGUACUAGUGGCGGGAGCAAUCGGAGUACUAAUAAAAUCAUUAUUAUUAGUAUUCGAGAAGUCGCAAAGUUUGGUGUUGUCAGCCAUGAUGACUUCAACAAACAAACAAGAACACAAGCAAGCAAGAAAACUGGCAAAAGAAAACGACAAAGGAGAAAGGCAAAUGAAAACGGCAAAGGAGAAAGGCAAAUGAAAACGGCAAAUGUGAAGUGGGGGAGAGGAAAACGAGAGGCAACUGGCAAAAAAGGUAAAUGCAAGAGAUGAGUUUGUGACACCUACUUGGAUAGAUUUUGACUUGAUCUCUCCUCCCCGGCAAUGGCGCCAGAAAUAGGCGUGUUGACGGGAAAGUAUUCUUGUCUUGAUACUCCUCGGCAGACGAUCCUCCACGGCAACGGCGCCAGAAAUCCUUCUACUACGGCAACAAAAGACCUUCCUCGGCUACGACGCCAGGAAUCCUACUGCUGCUGGCUACGCCUACAAGGACUUCCUUGGCAAAUAUGCAAAGGAUUCCCCCGUGGUCUUGGAGCCUUGCGUUGGUGUUCCCUUGAAGAGGAAAGGGUGAUGUAGCACUGCGGCAUUAAGUAUUUCCCUCAGUUUGAGAACCAAGGUAUCGAUCCAGUAGGAGGAUCGCGUCAAGUCACUAGUACCUGCACAAACACAAAGAGCUUGCACCCAACGCUAUGAAGGGGUUGUCAAUCCCUUAUAGAUUGUUUGUAAAGUGAGAACUGAAAGCAAAAAGGAAACAAAGCAAAGUAAAAGUAAAAGUGGAGACGAUAGUUGUGAAUAGACCCGGGGGCCGUAGUGUUCACUAGUGGCUUCUCUCAUGAAAGCAAGUAGACGGUGGGUGAACGAAUUACUGUCGAGCAAUUGAUAGAACCGCGCAAAGUCAUGACGUUAUCUAUGGCAAUGAUCACAUCUAUAGGCAUCACGUCCAAAACAAGUAGACCGAUACUUUGUGCAUCUACUACUAUUACUCCACACGUCGACCGCUAUCCAGCAUGCAUCUCGUGUAUUGAGUUCAAAAGAACAGAGUAACGCCUUAAGCAAGAUGACAUGAUGUAGAUGGACAAUCUCAAAUCUAUGUUGAAAGCCCAUCUUGUUACCCUUGAUGGAAACAACACGAUGCGUGCCUUGCUGCCCCUUCUGUCACUGGGAAAGGUCACCGCACGGUAUGAACCCAAAACCAAGCACUUCUCCCAUUGCAAGAAUCAUAGAUCUAGUUGGUCAAACAAAACCCAAGACUCGGAGAGACUUACAAGGAUAUCAAAUCAUGCAUAUAAGAAAUCAGCAAAGACUCAAAUAUAAUUCAUAGAUAAUCUGAUCACAAAUCCAUAAUUCAUCGGAUCUCGACAAACACACCGCCAAAGAGGAUUACAUCGGAUAGAUCUCCAUGAAGAUCAUGGAGAACUUUGUAUUGAAGAUCCAAGAGAGAGAAGAAGCCAUCUAGCUACUAACUACGGACCCGUAGGUCUGAAGUAGACUACUCACGAGUCAUUGGAGAGGCGAUGAUGUUGAUGUAGAAGCCCUCCAACUCCAAAGUCCCCUCCGGCAGGGCACCGCGAAGGGUCUCCAGAUGAGAUCUCGCGGAAACGGAAGCUUGCGGCGGCGGAAAAGUGUUUUCGUGGAUGCCCUGAAUUUUUCUGGGAUUUUAGGGAAUUUAUAGGCCAUAGAGCUAGGGCAGGGGAGCGCCAGGGAGGCCACAAGCCUGGUCGCCGCGGGCCCCCCUGGCCGCGGCGUCAGAGCUUGUGGGCUCCCUGUGGGGCCCCUGCCUUGGCCCUCAAGUCCCCCGAUCUUUUUCUGUUCUGGAAAAAUUUAUUUCGGGGAUUUUAUUCCAUUUGGACUCCGUUUCAAAAUCAGAUAUGAAAAGAGUCAAAAACACAGAAAAAACAGAAACUGACACUUGGCACUGAAUUAAUAAGUUAGUCCCAAAAAAAAGAUAUAAAAGGUAUAUAAAACAUCUAAAGUUGACAAGAUAAAAGCGUGAAACCAUCAAAAAUUAUAGAUACAUCUGAGACGUAUCAUUGCCAUGAACCAUAUGCAACAUUUGCCAUGUACACUAUUUCUUUAUUUUUGCCAUGAACCAAUACAAAAUGCCAUGUGACGGUACCAAAAUAAUAAAAGUGUGACAGUUAGCCUUAUGAAUAGAAAAUGCCAUGGUCUGUCUUAAAAGUUGCAUGGUGCUAUGUGACAGUGCUCUAGAAAAUGCCAAGCUGCAUUAAACAAAUUCCAUGUAAUUAAAAUAAAUAAAAUUCAGGGAUAUUAAUCGAUUUUAUGCCCUUAGUUGGGUGACACACUUGGUUGGUUUACCCUUAAUUUCUAAAAACACGUGUUCCUGCCCAAACUACUUUGCCCCUCAUAUGCUUUUUCCCUUGAGUGUUUGAACGUUACUUUAAAAUUUUCAUAAAAAAUCAUAAUAAAUAAGAAAAAUGCAAAUAAAUUAUAAAAAUAUUCAGAAAACAUCACUUAUAUGUGCAUGUCAUUUGCAUUCAUGAGAAAAUUGUUUGAAAUUCCCUAUCUCAGUUUUAGCUCAUAUGAUCUUAGCAUGAACAACAUAAUCUGAAAAAAUUGAAAACAAAUUCUAAAUAUUAUAUAAAAAAUUGGUGGGAAACAUUGAACAAUGUUUUGAGUGGUGCCAAGUUUCAUUAGGGAAUGAUAGUCCUGGAAGUUGUGGCAAACACAAUAAAAUCAAUUCUCCAAAACAAAAGCACUUUGGAGUGCUAAUUUUUUUCCACGACUUUCACGAAUGUCAUUCCCUUAUGAAACUUGGCAAGCAGUCAAAACAUUGGUCAAUCUUUGUAACCAAAUGUUUUUAGAAAUUUUAUAAUUUGUUUUCAAUUAUUUUAGAUUAUACUUUUCAUACUAAGAUCAUAUGAGAUAAAACAUACAUAUGGACUUUCCAACACUUAUGUAAAGAAUGCAAAUGACAUGCACAUAUAGAUGAUGUUUUCCAAACAUUUUGAUAUCCUUUUUGAAUUUUUCUGAGUUAGUAUGUUUUUUUAUGAAGUUUCCAAAGUGAUUGUCAAACGAUCAAAGGCAGAAGCAUAAGACGAACAAAGUGGUUUGGGUAGGAACACAUGUUUUUGGAAACUAGGGCUUAACCAGCCGAGUGUGACCCAACUAGGGGCAUAAAACCAGCUAUACCUAAAAUUUAACAUGCUCUAUGGUGAUACGUUUAUAGAAAAAGCUUAAUUAUAGAAAAAUACAUCUAUACAAAAGGUAAAGUAACACAUGUACAUAAUCACCAUAUAUAUCAAAAUGAAAAAUUAUUUAUAUGAAAAAGAAAAUUUGCCAUGAUUGAAUUAAUAAAAUGGCCAUGCUACAAUCCAAGUCAGGGAUGUUUAUAUUCCAAGUCAGGGAUGAUCCACCAAUCACUGGAUAAAAUAUCUCAAAUCUCUUCUGUUUUACUACAAUCCAAAUUCCCAUCCACUGGUCCCUUACAACCACAACCAAGUAAUAACCACAACCAAGGAAUGAUGAAGACCAAUUAUAUAAAAGAAAAAGGCAAAAACUGCCUAGAUUUAGCUAAAACAAUGGCAUUUGCCUAAAAACUGCCCAGAUUUAGCUAAAAUAAUGGCAAAAACUUCACAAUUUUCAGAUUCCAUCGGGUCGCCUCAUUUCAGGCGAGAAUUAGGCCGUUUGUCCGGUUUGGGGUCAGUUCUCAGGCCGGUUGUUACGCUAUGCAAUUAUGUAGGCCAGUUUUUGGAUGUUUGACUGGUUUGCCUUCUUGGGACUCUGGAGACCACCAGCUUUGGGCUUUUUCUUUCCUCCACCCUCAAAAAGAGGUACUCACGUGUCCUCUUUGAUUUUUCGUUAUUUAUUUUCUUGUUUUCUCAUGGUGCAAAACUCAUUGCUUGGCUGUGCGUAUAUACACCAAUUGCAUGUUUGAAUNNNNNNNNNNNNNNNNNNNNNNNNNNNNNNNNNNNNNNNNNNNNNNNNNNNNNNNNNNNNNNNNNNNNNNNNNNNNNNNNNNNNNNNNNNNNNNNNNNNNNNNNNNNNNNNNNNNNNNNNNNNNNNNNNNNNNNNNNNNNNNNNNNNNNNNNNNNNNNNNNNNNNNNNNNNNNNNNNNNNNNNNNNNNNNNNNNNNNNNNNNNNNNNNNNNNNNNNNNNNNNNNNNNNNNNNNNNNNNNNNNNNNNNNNNNNNNNNNNNNNNNNNNNNNNNNNNNNNNNNNNNNNNNNNNNNNNNNNNNNNNNNNNNNNNNNNNNNNNNNNNNNNNNNNNNNNNNNNNNNNNNNNNNNNNNNNNNNNNNNNNNNNNNNNNNNNNNNNNNNNNNNNNNNNNNNAUUCAAACAUGCAAUUGGACACGUGAUAUAACCUGAAUCAUCCACUCAACUACUCAUCAUCUAAGACGAGGAAGAAUCUACUACUAACCACAUAUAGGAUGGUCAAGAAACUGUUGUUCAUGGCCGUCCUUCUCAUCGCUUCCCGUAAGUGUUCAAUAAGAGCUAACUGAUAAGUAUCAUUUUUUACAUAUGUUUAGUGGGGGUGGCAACAACGGCGGUGCGGGGCGAGCAGGUGUGCGACGUGCUAAGGGGGGAGUGCAUGAUCAAGUGCUGGCACGGGACCAGCAAGUGUAUGUGUUGCUUCCAGGCCCUAGCUAGGCUACGUACUGCUGCAAUGACGACGGCGCACCUCCCUCCCCGCCAUCCAUCACAAGAGCGGCACGGCCGGCUGCCAUAGAUAGUGCCAUAUUUUAAGUUCAUGAAAAUUUUAACUUUUUUUGGAUAUUGUUUUCAAGUUUUUGAAUAUUUCUAAAAUUUAUGCACAUUUUCAUAUAGUUAGUGUAAUAAACAUAGUUUGAAAACAUAUAUAUACUCCCUCCGAUGCAAAAUAAUUGUUGUCUUUUUAGUUCAAAUUUUAACUAAAUAAAUAAUUGAGUACUUUCUCAUAAGUUUAAGAAAUAUAAAUACAAACUCGAAGGCAGAAAGGAAAAAAAAAACCCAAGCAAACUCGUAUGUACGUACAUGAUAGUGAGCGUCUCUUACUUGCGCGCUGGCCUAGCCUAUUUAUUCUCUAUUCUUGCUACAAAAAGACGAAGCACGCCGUAUACUGCCGAGGUCCCUCUUGCCGACCUCAAAUCGCCAAUCUUCAAGCAUGCAUGGUUGGUUCAAUGCCAAUCGUAUGGCUACCUAUCCUUUUUGUCAAUCUCUCGAAAAAGUUGUCAACUUUUGAUUUUCUCAAAUGCUUGCAUCAAACAAAUUGUGCUCUGUUUAUUUCAACUCCCUCUAUCUUACAUGUCACGAAAAUGAAUGUACCUGGAACUAAUAGUAUGUCUAAAUACAUUUUUAUGACAAGUAAUUUCAAAAAAAAGAUGUAGCAAAUAAAAAAAACGUCAUUUUAAACACGAGGACGCCUCGGCCAGGUUUUUGCCGAGCUUCAGGUUCAGACGUUCAACGGAACGUACCAGACGUGCACAUGCAUCUUUACCUACUAAUAAAGCAUCUAUUGCUUCUAUGGUACGUCAUUAAAUUUGCCCUUAAAGUUCGUCAAAAUUACCCACCAAUGCCACCCGUAAGUGACAAAAACGAUUCCUUUUUUGGACUUCGAUUCGGCUUUUCCUUUCCGAUUCUAAAGUCUGCGGUUCCGUAUUUUAUCACAAGAACAGGCUAGCCCAACCGAUUGGGUGCGCCCCGUCCCACCCAGAAGACCCAGGUUUGAUCCUCAUCGUGGACUAUAACUCUUUUUGUUCUUCUUUUUCUAUUUUUUUGUCUCUUUUGCCUUUAUUUCGAAAAACUUUACGCACAUGUUAAUCAUGGAUUAAAGAAAUGUCAAAUUUGUAGACAAAUAAGUUCUCAUAUAUACAAAAAAAUGUACAGUCCGUAUGGACAAUAAAUAAUAUAUUUUUCUUUUAUUUCGAAAAAUAUUGAUCGUGUAUUUAAAAAACUUUAAAUGUGUAUAGGAAAAUGUUUCCGGUGUAUCAGAAAACAUAUACAAAAAUAUAUAAUGUGUAUGGAACAAAGUAGACAUAAAAAUAGAACUUUUCAAAAAUGUUAAUCGUGUAUUUGAAUAAUGUAAAACAUGUAUAUAAAAAAUAUUCAUGAUGCAUACAUAAUAUGUAAAAUGCGUAUUAAAGAAAUUAGACAUCAAAACUCAAUAAUGUUUGUGAUGUCACACGCAAAAAAAGUUUCUAAUGUAUAAAAAAUAUACAAUGUUGUUUAUACAAGCUUUACGUAAACAAAUGGCUGAGCUUUGAUUUUUCAUAUAUAUAAACUGUUUUGCUAAUUAUUUUUUUAAGAAUAUCGAUAUUGAUAUACAACCUAGAACAUUUGGUAUGCAUGUACUUACAAAUUGAUUGUUUUCGAUGAAGCUGUCUAAUAUGUUUGCAACCAAAUUAAGACUUCACUUAGAUUAGAAAUGCAAACACAUAUAUCAGCAAGAUAAAAAUAAUGUUCUUAUGCAUAUGCUAUCAUUAAUUAACAAAACAUACUUUGCCAUUUGCGAGUUUCUAAUGUAUAAAAAAUAUACAAUGUUUCAAGAAAUGUUCUAAAAUUUUAAGAACAUAACAUUAUUGGAAAACAGUUAUUUGCCAUAUGCUGCUUCUUUGCCGUGUGCUGGCUGAUGGCAAAGACCCUCUUUGCCAUCAGCUACCAGAAACCAGACGGCAAAGAGCAGGCUGAUGCCAAAGGUACUAUUUGCCACCAGCCAACUCUUUGUCGUCUGCCAGCUCACGACAAAGAGCAUGCAGGCAGACGGCAAAGAGGGUGGGCGGCCCACCCCGUAGCCCCUCUCUCCCCCCUAACGGCCUCUUUCUUUGUCGUCCGCUUUUCUCCUCUGUGCCGUCGGGAGGCGGACGGGAAAGAGGGUGCCCCCCUAACGGCCGUUAGCCCCACCCCCACGCGCCUCUCUCUCCCCCUAACGGCCACCCCGACACCCCUCUCUCUCACCCCCGACACCACCACCGCCGCCGCGCCCUCUUCCGGCCUCCCUGUGCCGCCCUACGCCCUCCUUCUCCCUAGCCGCCCUGCGCCCUCCUCCUCCCCGGCCGCCCUGCACCCUCCUCCAUCGCCACCCUGCGCCCCCUCCUCCACCCCGGCCGCCCUGCACCCUCCUCCACCGCCGCCCUACGCCCCCUCCUCCUCCCCGGCCGCCCUGCACCCUCCUCCANGCCACCGCCGCCGCCCUCCUCGCGCCCCUCACCGUGCCCCUCCUCCCCCUAUUGCCCUCCUCCCCCUGUGGCCCUCCUCCCCCUGGGGGCCCCUGCGGCAUUCAGUUAGUUUUUUCCUUCUUUUUUGAAUAGUUUUUGUUUAAUUAGUUAUAUGUUUUAGUGAGGUUUUGGCUUAGUUUUAGUUUAGUUUAGGUUCAGUUUUAGUUUAGGUUUAGUUAGGUUAGUUUCCUAUUUAGUAAAGGAGAAAAGUAGAAGAAGAAGAAGGAGANNNNNNNNNNNNNNNNNNNNNNNNNNNNNNNNNNNNNNNNNNNNNNNNNNNNNNNNNNNNNNNNNNNNNNNNNNNNNNNNNNNNNNNNNNNNNNNNNNNNNNNNNNNNNNNNNNNNNNNNNNNNNNNNNNNNNNNNNNNNNNNNNNNNNNNNNNNNNNNNNNNNNNNNNNNNNNNNNNNNNNNNNNNNNNNNNNNNNNNNNNNNNNNNNNNNNNNNNNNNNNNNNNNNNNNNNNNNNNNNNNNNNNNNNNNNNNNNNNNNNNNNNNNNNNNNNNNNNNNNNNNNNNNNNNNNNNNNNNNNNNNNNNNNNNNNNNNNNNNNNNNNNNNNNNNNNNNNNNNNNNNNNNNNNNNNNNNNNNNNNNNNNNNNNNNNNNNNNNNNNNNNNNNNNNNNNNNNNNNNNNNAGAAAGGAGAAGAAGAAGAAGGAGAAAGGAGAAGAAAAAAAUAAGAAGAAGAAGGAAAAGAAGAAGAAGGAAAAGGAAGGGAAGGAGAAGAAAGAAGAAGAAGAAGAAGAAGAAAAAUAGGAGAGGAAGAGAAGAAUAAGAGGAAAAAAUAAAAUAAGAAGAAGAAGAAGAAGAGAAGAAGAAAACAAGAAGAAGGAGAAGAAGAAUAAGAGGAAAAAAGAAAAAAGAAAAUAAUAAUAAUAAGAAGAAGAAGAAUAAGAAUAAGAAUAAGAAGAAGAAGAAGNNNNNNNNNNNNNNNNNNNNNAAGAAGAAGAAGAAGAGAAGAAGAAAAGAAGAAGGAGAAGAAGAAUAAGAGGAAAAAAGAAAAAAGAAAAUAAGAAUAAGAAGAAGAAGAAGNNNNNNAAGAAGAAGAAGAAGAGAAGAAAAGAAGAAGAAGGAGAAGAAGAAUAAGAGGAAAAAGAAAAAAGAAAAUAAUAAUAAUAAUAAGAAGAAGAAGAAUAAGAGGAAAAAGGAAAAAAGAAAAUAAGAGUUAGGUCACAUAUUUUUUGAUUAUCUUAUAAAAACAUCAUAUUUGUGUUGAUCGGGUGAAUUUCAAUGUGCAGUUGUUCGACGACCUCCACGUGCGUUGGACGAGCUCCGCCCCUACGUUUGUUGGUGAGCACAAAUGACUUCUCCUCCUACCCCCUUAAUUUGCUCUGUCCCGGUCUUCGUGCCGAUGAAACUUGCUAGCCAUAUAUAGGUUUCUUCAAUCAUGAGUAUGCGUGACCAGUAUACGUCUCUCGUUCGAAAGGGCGACAUCUAUAAAUAUGCAUGUCUUUGCAUAUUUAUAACCGCCAUCCUUUCGAAUUGUCCAACAUUAUCCAUGGACAGCCCGAGUAUGUGUAGAUUGGGUUCGUUUUCCCGUAUGCUAUGCUCUGGAUCCGAUGCGGAAUUUCGUCAGUGCCUCCCUGUUGUUCUCCGGAUGCACAUCCUCUUUGUUUAUUGUGGAGACGUGUAUCAGGAGAACAACGGGGAGGUGCUGCCGAAAUUUUGCGUUGGAUCCGGAGCAUAGCAUGGGAAAACGAACCCAAUCUACACAUACUCAGGUGGGAUUAGGACCUAUCUUUACCUAUUAGCGUGUAGGUUGCCUGGACGUAAUAAAAAUGGCGAACCUGAUUAACCGAUGAAUAUAAAUGCUAAAUUAUAUAUAAAUAUAUUUCUUCUGUCUUUAGUAGCUACGCAAGAUGAGUGAUCGUGCGUGGAUGUAUACCGGUCACCCUAGUCAGAAAGAGAUGACGAAAGAAUGGUUUGUAAAAACAAAGGAAUUUGUGAAAGCCGCAUUCGCAAAUGGCCAGGAAAGAAACUAUUGCCCCUGUCCUGGAUGCGACAACUAUAAGAAGACGACAGAGGCUGUAAUGAUUAAACACCUGCAGAGGAGGGGUUUUAAGCCUAAUUAUACGGUGUGGAUAUUUCUUGGUGAGUCUAUACAACGCACAAGAGCUGAGGUGGUCCGUCGUCGCACGGACGAGCAUGGUACCGGGAUCGAAGACAUGGUGCAAGACUUUGAUGAUGCUCGGGAUUCGGAAGAUGAGAUGGAGGAAUCUGCAAAGGCCUUUUAUGAAAUGUUGGAGUCUUCAAAACGUCCUCUCCAUGAGCACACUGAGCUCUGUCAGCUGGAUGCAAUUGCACAAGUAAUGGCUCUGAAGGCUCAGUUCAACUUGGGAAGAGAAUGCUACGACGCGAUGAUGACACUAUUUGGACGCUUCCUACCAAAGGCCAUGUCAUGCCUGCAAACCUGUACCAGUCGGACAAAAUACUUCGUGUACUUAAGAUGCCCUAUGAGAAGAUAGAUGCAUGUGAGAAAGGAUGUGUCUUAUUUAGGAAGGAGUAUGCACACUUGGACUAUUGUCCCAAUUGCGAGUCUUGCGGGUAUCUUGUGGUAGACAACGGUAUGGGUGAGAAGAGGCAGACCAAAAUCGCAGUUAGUGUUCUUCGGUAUAUGCCAAUCGUACCAAGACUUCAAUGUCUUUUCAUGGUCGAAGAGACAGCCGGACAGAUGACAUGGCACAAAUUGGGCAAAAGAACCGAACUAGAUGCGGAUGGGAAUAAGAUGAUGGUACACACAUCGGAUGGGGAAGCGUGGAAACAUUUCGAUGGAUUGCAUCAGGAUAAAGCGGCAGAUCCAAGGAAUCCUCGAGUCUGCGCCGCCACGGAUGGUUUUAAUCCCUUCGGCAUGACGACAACCCAAUACAGUUGUUGGCCUGUAUUUUUCAUUCCACUCAAUCUCCCCCCCGGGCAUAUUAUGCAAAGAAAGAACAUAUUUCUGACGUUGAUAAUUCCAGGGCCCAAUUAUCCCGGGAAGAAUAUGAAUGUGUACCUACAACCGCUUAAGGAUGAAUUGGAAGAAGCUUGGGAUAAUGGGGUGAAGACAUACGAUGCCGCUAGAAAAGAAAACUUCAAAAUGCAUGUGUGGUACAUGUACUCUAUGCAUGACUUGCCAGCGUAUGCGCUAUUCUCUGGAUGGUGUGUGCAUGGAAGGUUCCCGUGCCCCCAAUGCAAGGCAGCUCUUCGGUUUCAUUGGUUGCAGGAGGGUCGGAAGUAUUCUUGCUUUGACUUGCAUAGACAGUUCCUGGAUCCUGACCAUCAGUUCAGAAAAGACAAGAAGAACUUUACCAAAGGUAAAGUUGUCAAAAAAUUGGCACCACCUGCGUUCACAGACCAACAGAUCCUGGAUCAGCUAAACGCCCUCGAGCCUGAUCCAGAGCGUCCAGGGUAUUUCAAGGGGUAUAAUUCAAAAAACGCCUCGACUCACAAGCCAUGCUUCUGGGAUCAGCCUUACUUCAAAGACCUCCUUCUUCCACACAAUAUCGACAUGAUGCACACUGAAAAGAAUAUCGGAGAGGCUAUUUUUGGUACAUUGUUCGACAUAGAUGGGAAGACAAAGGAUAAUAUUAAGACUAGAGUCUAUCAAGAGACACUAUGUCAUAGACCGUUACAAAACAUGCGAGAAGGCAAAGGAAAGCAGAAGUGGUCGAAGCCAAAGGCUUGGUUCAAUCUUGGAAGGCCAGCUAUGAGGGAAAUUAUCUUGUGGGUCAAAAUGCACUUGAUGUUCCCUGAUGGGUAUGCAGCGAAUCUAAAGAGGGGAGCGAGUCUUGAAAAAUUAAAAAUCUUUGGUCUCAAGAGUCAUGAUUGGCACAUAUGGCUAGAGCGGGUAAUGCCGGUGAUGUUACAUGGCUUUAUUCCUGAGGAUGAAUGGCUAGUACUGGCGGAGCUGAGCUAUUUCUUCCGUGUUCUUUGUGCGAAAGAAUUGUCGCCUGGCAUGGUAGAAGACAUGGAGGAGUUUGCACCGGAGUUGUUGUGCAAGUUAGAGAAGAUCUUUCCACCGGGCUUCUUUAAUCCAAUGCAGCAUUUGAUUUACAUCUACCGACCGAGGCAAGAUUGGGUGGGCCCGUGCAAGAUCGUUGGUGCUAUGCAACUGAGAGGAUGCAGAAGACCCUUCGAGCUAAAUGUAAAAAUAAGCGUAGAAUUGAAGCAUCGAUGGCUGAGGCAUUCAUUACUGAGGAGGUGGCAAACUUUGUGACAGCACACUACGAAGCCAAAAAUCAUCAUUUGCAUAAUCCGAAGCCUCGGCACAAUGAUGCAGACCCUAAAAAAGGUGGGUCCAACCUCAGCCUAUUCAAAGGGAAGCUCGCACCAGCCGGUGCUUCUAAACCAAUAACGUAGGAUGUCGAAGAAUGGCAGAACAUUUCGUUGUAUAUCUUCAACAACCUAACAGAAGUGCGGCCAUACAUCGAGUGAGUUCUCGGCACAUUUUCCCGUAACUUCUAAUUCAUUUGAACUUCUUUUAUUCCCGGAUAUUUCAAACAGCCGUUACGUCGCGAAAUUCUUGGAUGGAGCGGUGAUCGAAAAUGAUUCCGUCGAAGAGUAUGAGCUUCUGUCGAAGACAGGAGGCGGCUAUCCCGGUUUCAUCUCUUGGUUCAAACAAACGGUAAUUAUUAAUAAUGGAUCAUUUCAUUCUUGGUCUAACUUGCGGCUAAUGCAACAAUCGUUUCGUAUUAAACUUGUAGGCUAAUUCAGAGUCUAUGGACGCCGAAUUGAGACAAGUCGCUAAUGGUUUUGACUAUUAGGUCCGUUCAUUUGAGAAAUACAACAUCAACGGGUAUCUCUUUCGUACCUUUGGCAAAGAGCUAUCUAUGCUCGACCGGAAAUCUACAAAUUAUGGUGUCUUUGCUAUCGGCAAAGGUGUUAUCGAGUAUUAUGGAAGAGUUGAAGCAAUUUAUGAACUUCAAUUCUAUGGUGAAAACCCACCGAACGUCGUAGUCUUCAAAUGUUAUUGGUUCCAGCCGAAGAAGACUAGAAGGACUCAUGAACAUAUAGGACUAGCCGAAAUCAAUCCAAACACCCAUUUAGAUGUUCCCGAUGUCUAUAUUACGGCUCAACAGGCGACCCAAGUUUUCUAUCUACCGUGGGCAUGCCAAACGGAUAAGAAUCUGGAAGGUUGGUAUGUUGUUUAUGAAGUGCCGCCACAUGUCAGACCACCUCUCCCAAAUGAACAUGAUUAUGAACCUCACAUUAACCCAGACACAUAUGAUUGAGAAUUCUUCCAAGAAACACGUCUUUCCAAGAAACAUUUCAAGAACCGUCGUGCUUCACCCAAGAACAUGGAAGUAGACAGCGACAAUGAAUCUGACUCCAGCCCUGAGCCGGAACCAGAAGACCUGGAACGUGUAGAGGUUACUGAUGCGGAUGACCUUUCAAUGAUUCAACGAUUAAAGGAAGGGCUUUCACAACUUCACGCCGUUGAACCCGACGAGCACGUCAUUCAUGAAGACAUGCGUGAUAGUGAUGAUGAUGAUGCAUUUAUUGAUGAUGAUUAUUAGUUUUUAAGAUUCACAACUUAAAUUUUAUAUAUUUUAAUCUUUAUUAUUCAUGUACAUAUUAUUAUUCAUGUCAGUUAUUCAAUUUUUUUAUGUUGUACUAAUUUCUUUUAAUAUUUAUCAUGGCAGGUCACCAGGUGUGGAAAGAUGGUGGGCGCUGGUCCAGAUUGCUCGAUGGGUUCUUCCCAGGCGCCCCGUACGAGGGGUGGUACUUCCCUUCCACCCCUAUCUCUCCGUAGAGCCUUGGCAGACAGUCUGUCGACACCACCCGUGGGUUCUUCUUCUUCGGCGGCAUUGCCCACUGGGAGAGGUGUUGGUCGGGUAGGGAAGAAGGGGAAGGGUACAGGGAGAGGUGGUGGCCGCGGAAGAUCCAGGAGGACAGUUGAGCCGUCCUCGCCACCACCACCAGCUCAUUCACCCGAGCAUAGGACUACUAUGGUCGACCCGUUUGUGGAGGAGGCUACGGGGACUCCGUUCCAGGAGCCUAUUGUUGACGGGCAUUCGUCGCAUGAGACUCCGGUCCAGGAGAAGCCUCGGGUCGAGGUGCAUUCGGCCCAGGAGCAGCCGGAGGAGACUACGGUUCCGGAGGCUUCACCCGACGUGGAGAGGCCCGGAUGGGAGUCCUGGCCGGAUCGUACCGAGUUGCCGGAUUGGACCGAAGGUCCGGGUGGCUCAGUGGGCGGGGAUGGCGGGGAUGAGCUUAUGGAUAGUGAGGGCGAUGUGCAGGUGGACGGGGCCACCGUGUACAAGCGUGGUACUACACGUCUCCCGGUCGCGUCGGCUACACGCGAGCAGAGGCCGGUGAUUAAACCUGAAGGAGAUAGGUAAGUACAUUUACUCUUUUUUUAGCUUUUGCCUUCAAGUUUGUUCAAAUAUCUAAUGCGUUGACCUUAUCAUACUGCAGGGGAUGGGUACACCCUCUUGGAGUCCGUAGGCCGAACUCCGUCCUUGGUGUGCUUUGCUGGACAAAUUUCCCGGGGUUUGUCACGUUGCCUGGUGAGGGUCAAGUUCCUACACUAGGAUUUUCCUGGGAGCACUACCAGGCUGCACAGGCCCCGCCGGAGGAGAUUAUAGAUGGUGUCUUGUGCCACACGAGGGCCGAGAUGGUGAUCAAGAGUUUUUGGGUAAAUUAUCCUUUUACAGAAUCUAAAAUUAACAAUAUAGCUAAUUAUUGUACUAAUCGGUGUUUUCAUGUUUGAUUGCAGACCUUCUAUAGGUGUGUGGAUGGAUAUGAGGAGGAGGCGGCCAGGUUUCUCGAGGCCGAGUGUAGGCGGUUACUACAGAACUUGCACCACGAGGCUCGGCCGCAGGCUAUUCGAGAUUACUAUGCCACGUGUGGUAUUAAGAAGCAGAAGAAGGAUUGCCGCGGAAAGUUUCUAAAGAAGGAGCAAUACAUGAAGGUAAUUACCUUUUCUUAAGUCCUUCUACAUAGUUUUCUUGAUUUCAUUCAUAGGCGUAGCGCUGGAAAUUCUUUCUAAUAACUUACAGGUGCCCCCGAGAUGGUGUGCGGAUAAGAUGGAUUGUUGGGAGGCGUUGGUUGAUGAGUGGUGCACAGGCAGGUGGCGAGCCGUCCAUGAGAAUGCGAAGGAUCGGCGUAGCCAAAUGGUUGGUGUGCCACACCAUCAAGACAGCGCCAACUUACUUCAGUUUGGACGAAACUGGGUAUGUGAUUUGCUUCAUGAUUCAUGCAAUUCAUUCUUGAUGCUAAUAUUUUGUUCCUCUUUUUUAGGCGCAUCACAAUAAGAUGGAGAUGCCACACUUGUACGACCUUAAUGGCAUGGCCCAUACUGCCUCAUACAAGAAGGCGAAGGCAUUCUCUGAGUCUGACCUGAAUGAUCCCAAUAACUUCACCAACAUAUCAUCCCACCAGAAGCUCGUGGCAUAGAGGGACGCGGGGAAGGCUACGAAAGGGGAUGACUUUAACCCUAGCCAGGAACCUUUGGAUCCAGAGCUGGUGAUGAUAUCUGGUGGCGGGAAGCCCUAUGGUUCGAUAGCCAUUGGAGAUGGGAUAAUAUGUUGUCCACUCACUCUCCCAGAGAUCAAGGCGCGCCAGUCGAGCAGCUGUCCUGAGAUAAUGCGUCUUCCACGGCCAGUCGAACUUGCCAUCGAGGUUAGUUGUACGGACUAAGAACACUUUCAUCCAUUUCAUUAUGUGUGUCACCAUAGAUCAUUACUGUGGUAACGAGGAAUGGUGUUUCAGGCUGCUCUUGAGAAAGAGAGAUUGGCAAACCAGGCUGCUCUUGAGAAAGAGAGAUUGGCAAGCCAGGCUGCUCUUGAGGCUGCUCUUGAGAAAGAGAGAUUGGCAAGUCAAGCUGCUCUUGAUGAGAGGGACCAGACCACGACACGAUUGAUUGAGGAGGAGAGGUCCCAGAAUGAGGCGGGUCAACGGGCCCUGUACGAGCUUUUUGUGGUAAGUUUUUUUUCACAUUAGCCAAAUCAUGUGUGUAAUGUCUGUUUCAUUACUAACUAAUACGACCCACUCUUCAGGGUCUGUGCGAGAAGAGCGGUCAAGUCCCUCCGCCGAUGCCCAUCUUCUCUUCGAUUGGCACGGUGAGUUUCAUUAUAAACUAGUAUUAAUAAUUGAGUGUCAUCAUGCUAACUGAGACAUUGCCAAAUAUCUAUUUUGCAGAAUAACUCCCGAGCGGCAUCGCACGACCCUUCUCCAGGUGUUUCUCCUCCUUGAUGACCAAUACGGUAAGUUUCUCUUCUCCUCUUUCAUAUUCUCAUUGCCUUAAUUUCCCCAACAAUAACAUAGUUAGCCCAUUUAGCUCCANNNNNNNNNNNNNNNNNNNNNNNNNNNNNNNNNNNNNNNNNNNNNNNNNNNNNNNNNNNNNNNNNNNNNNNNNNNNNNNNNNNNNNNNNNNNNNNNNNNNNNNNNNNNNNNNNNNNNNNNNNNNNNNNNNNNNNNNNNNNNNNNNNNNNNNNNNNNNNNNNNNNNNNNNNNNNNNNNNNNNNNNNNNNNNNNNNNNNNNNNNNNNNNNNNNNNNNNNNNNNNNNNNNNNNNNNNNNNNNNNNNNNNNNNNNNNNNNNNNNNNNNNNNNNNNNNNNNNNNNNNNNNNNNNNNNNNNNNNNNNNNNNNNNNNNNNNNNNNNNNNNNNNNNNNNNNNNNNNNNNNNNNNNNNNNNNNNNNNNNNNNNNNNNNNNNNNNNNNNNNNNNNNNNNNNNNCCAAAAAGACAUAAUUAGUCCAUUUAGCUCCAAAAUGCCAUAAUAACCUCAAAAUGGCAUAAGAACCUUGGUUAGCUCAUUAAUAUUAUAUACUUAGCUUGUUUUCCUCUAAAAUGAGAUAAUUAGCCCAUUUAGCUCCAAAAAGACAUACUUAGCUAAUUUAGCUCCAAGAAGAGGAGAAGAGGAGAAGAAAUAGGAAAAAUGAAAUGAAAGAAGAAGAAGAAGAAGAGAAGGAGGAGGAGGAGGAGGAGAAGGCCAAGGACCUUCUAGUCCUUCUCCUCCUUCUCCNNNNNNNNNNNNNNNNNNNNNNNNNNNNNNNNNNNNNNNNNNNNNNNNNNNNNNNNNNNNNNNNNNNNNNNNNNNNNNNNNNNNNNNNNNNNNNNNNNNNNNNNNNNNNNNNNNNNNNNNNNNNNNNNNNNNNNNNNNNNNNNNNNNNNNNNNNNNNNNNNNNNNNNNNNNNNNNNNNNNNNNNNNNNNNNNNNNNNNNNNNNNNNNNNNNNNNNNNNNNNNNNNNNNNNNNNNNNNNNNNNNNNNNNNNNNNNNNNNNNNNNNNNNNNNNNNNNNNNNNNNNNNNNNNNNNNNNNNNNNNNNNNNNNNNNNNNNNNNNNNNNNNNNNNNNNNNNNNNNNNNNNNNNNNNNNNNNNNNNNNNNNNNNNNNNNNNNNNNNNNNCUCCUCCUCCUCUUUCUUAUCCUCUUUCAUAUUAUCCUUGCUUUAAUUUCCCCAAAAAGACAUAAUUAGCCCAUUUACCUCCAAAAUGCCAUAAUAACCUCAAAAUGGCAUAAGAACCUUGGUUAGCUCAUGAAUAGUAUAUACUUAGCUUGUUUNNNNNNNNNNNNNNNNNNNNNNNNNNNNNNNNNNNNNNNNNNNNNNNNNNNNNNNNNNNNNNNNNNNNNNNNNNNNNNNNNNNNNNNNNNNNNNNNNNNNUCUCCUCCUUCUCCUCCUGCUUCCUGAUUUCUUCUUCUUCUUGUCGGUGAAUACUCACAACAUAUGCCAUCGGUAGGCUAAAGUCGGUGAGAACCGAAGGGACAAAGGUGGGCGCUGGGAACGAGGUUGGUACACGCAUGGAACGCACGAUGUACCCAGGUUCAGGGCUCUCCAUGGAGAUAAUACCCCUAAUUCUGCUUUAGUGUUUGAUGUAUGGGAACAGAGUACAAUGUUGCUCCUAGAGCUGUGUUGGCAGGAGGAAGAGGGGAGCAGCCGGCUCGUCUCUACCUCGCUCUCUGUUGGUUGGUGAGUGUGUAGUGUUGAAUGGCUGGCAAGUGAUCGGUCCCCCUGCAUGGGGGGGGGGGGGGCCGGGGGGUUUUAUAGAUGAACCCGCCGGCCUACAAUAUGGAUAAAAGGUACAAGUGUGGGACCCGGCUGGCUGCUUCGCCGGCUGGCCAGGGGCCCAAAAGGGUCUUGUCUUGUCGAUGAGGGGCCCGCCGGCUGCAUGGUCUCGUUUACCUAUGGGACCCGCCGACUGGCCAAUGGGGAUCCCGCGUAAGGUUGACGCUAAGCACGCGUUGUACGUCAAGCCUCGCCCCGCGAGAUUCUUCAUGGGCAGGCAGUAUGACCGCGUCCACUGUUCCCCAUGCCAAGUGCAGUAAUGGAGUGGGAGUGUGACGGUCCGACACCAAGCUAGGUGAUGGAUGAGAGCCGGGGUAGGUCAGCGGCGUGGCUGCCGACGCUCGUACCUACCGGGCGCCCCGAUGCAGUACCUUUGCUGACGAGUAGCUACCUUUAAUCGUGAGGUCCUUUCCUGACCUACGAUCUGAUGUGACUGGGGAUCCUCGGCCGGCUAGCCUGCUUGGUUAGCCGGCUCGCGGGUGGCCGCCUCCUCCCUAGUCCGGCUGGCGGGACCAGGCCGGCUCUGAAGGGGAGGCCGCCUGCGCUCUAGCCGACAGGGGAUGCCUGGCCGGCCAGAAAGGUGGCCGCAUCGUCUUCCAGCCGACAGGCGAUGCCCAGCCGGUCAGAAGACUUGGGCCUUGGGAAUCUCCCUAUUUUCAUGUCCAUUGGGCCGGAAAUGAAGGAGCGGGCUUGAUGAGCCUACCCCGGGGUUAUCCCCCCGACAGUAGUCCCCGAAGCUGGCGAGGUCUGCCGCGUGCGGGCGGCCUCACCGGCUUGUUGUCUUGAUAUUUUGGUUGUUGUUUGCGGUGAAGGACGCCGACUUUGGAGCCGGGCAGCUUCGAAGCGACGCUUCGGUCCAGUCAUAACUGGCCCGGGGUGCGCCACGUGCCAGGCCCCGCCUGCCGUAAUGAUGGCGAUUACUGCUUGACGGGACCGGGCCUGGGCCCUGGGUCCCUCCACGACGCCCCUCGGCCUCCGCGCGGGAUAUCUUCUGCGGAUUUACUCCGUGACGGUUGGGCUUAGGGGAGCGUUACCGCCCGUAAUACGCGGAAUUAAUGGGGCCCGGCGCACACUGGAUCCCCUCCCCACGACGCUUCGUGGGGUUUAAAUGGGACGCGAGGGUUUCGAGGAGGCCAUUCGCCCCCUCUUCUCGCCCUGCUCUGUGCCUUCUUCCUCCUUGCGUCCUAAGAAGAAGAGCUCGUGCCCUUCGUCUUCUUCUUCUUCACUGCCGAGACCUCCUCCGCCCGCUUCGAGCUCUCGCCACCCGUAGCCAUGGCUGGGGGAUCUUCUUUGAAGAGGUCGUCGGCGCAGCAGGCGUCCUCGCAUGGGGCCUGGCUGGGCAGCGAUGUCAACGCGGAGCUCAUCGACGCGCUCCGUCAUCAUCAGCUGCUGCCCCCGGCCUCCCAAGUGUCGGUGCGCCUCCCUGGAUCCGAGGCCUCUCCUGCACCUGUCGCGGGAUAGGUGGUGGUCUUCGCCGAGCAUUUCUACCGGGGUUUCGGGCUCCCGACUAGCUCUUUCUUCGCCGAGUGGCUCCAGUUCUUCGGCCUGCAGCCGCAUCAUCUGGCGCCGAACGCCAUACUACAGUUGGCCGCCUUCGUGGUCCUGUGCGAGGGCUUCGUGGGGAUCGAGCCUCGCGUCGAUCUGUGGUGCAGCUUGUUCUUCUUCAAGCAGCAAUCCAUCGCCAUGGAGAAAUCCGAGGUGGAGAAGCUCAAGGGGCCGCGCCCCAUGACGUCGUGCGGGGCCGCGUUGGUGCAUCACCGCCCGAAGUCCGGCUUCCCCCAGAUGCCUUUGCAAGACUCCAUCAAGCAUUGGCAGAAGGGGUUCUUCUAUGUGAGGAGCACCGACCCGGCCCAGGACGCCCUCAACAUGCCCCCGUUCGCCAUCGCCCCUCCGACGCGGCAGAAUUGGGACGUGAAGACCCCCAAGCCGCAUCCUGAGGUGGCGCCCAUUCGCGCCCACCUCGAUAUCUUGAGGGAGAGCGGCCUCCUCGGCCGCGACCUUCUCGCCGCCAUGGUGGUCCGCCGGAUUCUGCCUCUGCAGAGGCGGACGCAUCUGGUCUGCCAGAUGAGCGACCGGCUUGAUCUGUGCCGGCUGUCCAUCAAGAGGCUCACCUCGGGCGCUGUGGCGCGGAGGGUGAACCUGAUCUCCACCGCCCGUAUGGAUGAGGGCGGGGAAUGGACGUGGGGGAUGGCCCCGUUCAAUCGGGCUCAUCCGCCUCCCAAGGUAGCCUUUCUCCCUUCUUUUCUAUCGUUUUGUUUUGAAGCCGAUGGCGUUUGCUGAGCCAGGUUGAAUUCCUUUUUUGUAGAUGUUCCAGACCCUGCAGGGGUCCCUCCCUCAGCCUGCUCCCGACGUGGAGGCGUCCGGCGCCUCCGAGAUGGAGGAUGAGGACGCGAUGGAGCCCCGCUCGGACUCCUCCGCCGGCACGGGAGAUCCCCUGGAGUCAGAAGGGACCGAGCCGUCUGGUGAGUACCCGCGGCACGCCCUAGCAGACUGGACGGACGAUGAUGAGGAAGCCUCAUUCUGCUCUGAUGCAGCCUUUGAAGGAGACUCCGACGAGGUGGAGGAGGUCACCGGCCCAUUACUGUUGCGCGGUCGGCGUCAAGGCGGCGGAGCGACCGCUGCUGUUGAGGCAGCUGGGAGGAAGGGCAAGGGUGCCACAGCUUCCCGGCCGGCCUCUAAGCGACCGGCGCGGGUCCUUCAGCCGGGCAGCGGGCAGACGGCGCCAAAAGGCGCCGUGGCGGUGGCCGAAAGCAGGUCCCGGUAAUUGUCGGGUAUGGUUUCCUCCUUUUCUCUCUUCCGUAUUUUGAGAUGAACUUUGUUCCUAAGAAGCUUGGCUCGACUGGGAGGCGGAGGAUGCGGAUGAAGACACCGCCUCCGCGGCCGAGCGGGCCGGCUGGGCAGCGGAUGAUGCUGCCGAUAGGGAGCUAGAGAUAGAGUCCAAGCGCCGGUGGGACACGGCUGCGGGGAAGGUCGUCGUGGAUCAGCCUUGCCCCAGCCGGGUCGAGAGGUUGGCGAAGAAGCGUGCGAAGGCUAGACAGGACCCCUCCGCACAUACCCGUGUGGAGGAGCCAGCUAGCGAGGCCGCCUCCAGGCCAACCCCGAGGACCGAAGGGACCCAGCCGUCUGAGUCGGCAGCCCCGGAGCGGGUGGACCUGGAGACGAUCCCGGUUUCUCCCCGGGUCGAAGCAGCUCCUGACGCGCCGGUGCUGGAUCUGGCCGCGUCGGACGCGGCCCCUGACGCCCCAGGGGUGACCAUGGAUGCGCCGGACGUGGCUCAUCUGCCUUCUGUGGAGGAAGUAGCGCCGGUUGGGGCGGCGCCCGAGCCGGCCAUUGAGCCUACACCAGGAGCCGGCGCCAUCGUCGUCCCCCAGCAGGGCCCUGUCGCGCCAAGGGCAGGGGGGCGGUCUGGGAGCCAGCCCAUGAAGUUAUGGCGGGCGGCGAACGCGGCCCGCCUGCGAAUGCUCGCCGGCACCGUUCUUUCCGGCGUGCCGGAGCUGGUGACGUUGUUUGACAGCGGCCGGUCGAAGGUGGAGCAGGCUGCCCGCGUGGUAUGCGGCAACAUGGAGCGCCUGGAAGCCCGUACCCAGGUAGGUCUUGCCUGUUUUGGUUUUUCUUUGCUUUUUUAUCUUCUCUUGACAUGAGUGGGGGCACGGCAGCGCACCCACUGGGUGUAGCCCCCGAGAAUCGGGCGGGUUGAUUGCCAACCGGUCCGAAUCUCUUGGAGGCCUUUUUCUUCUGCAUAUUUUUCUUCAGUGGGGGCGCGCAAGCGCACCCACUGGGUGUAGCCCCCGAGAAUCGGGUUGGUUAUGCUUUUAACCAGGUCGAAUCUUAAUCUUGUUCCAUUUCUCUCCCCUUUGGCAGGCGCUAUACGAUGCUCAGGUACAGGCGUACAACGAGCUUCAGGACGAGCACUUGGGGGCUGAUGGCCGGAUCGCCGGGCUUGAAGUCCGGCUGGGCGAGGCUGCCGCGGAGCGUGAUGCCCUUCACGAAACCGGCGGCCGGCUUCAAGAGCAGCUGGACCUUCUUCAGGCGGAGAAGAAGGAGCUCGAGGCGGCCGGCCGGGUCGAGCUGGAGCGGCUGCGGGCCAUGCUGCAGGAGAAGGAGGCCUCCUGCUUUGCUGACACGGACCGCCUCGCGUCGCUCCAUCUUGAGGAGGCGAACCUCAAGGACGCCGCCUUGAGGGCGAAGGAUGACGCCCUUACGCAGAAGCAAGCCCAGCUGGGUAAGGCGCUGGAGUCCGCCGCGACCCUCCAGGAGGAAGUCGCCCGCCUCACUCAUGCGAGUGAGGUGCGGGAGCGCGAGGUCCUCGAGGUCUUUCAUGAGACCGACGGCGCCUUCCAGCGUAGGUUUCCUUUCCUUGUUUUGCGUUUGGUUUUUUGGCCGUCUCCUCCUCUCGCUGUGUUCUUACGUCCCGGCUAUCUUUACCCCAGACCUCUUCUCCGAGACCCAGGUCGCAGCCGACACCGCCGUUGAGGUGUGCCGCGACGAGCGCCGCGCGGCUGGGCAGGAGGUAGAUACUACCUCCAGCUGGAGCGCCGAGGAGAUCGGCGUGGGCCUUCGGGCCCGCCUGCACGUACUGAGCGAGUCUGUGACUCAGCUCCAGGUUGCAGGUUCGUCGAUGGUGGCGGCCCUGUGGCCGGAGGGCGUGGAGCCGACGACCAUGAGUCGGCUUGCCCGUUGGCUCGCAGCGGGUGGAGAGCGCCUGGAUGCCUGGCGAGCCUCCUUCGUGCAGUCUGGGGCUUAUAUGGCCCUGCGCUUGGCCAAGUAUUGGUAUCGCAACCUGAACUUGGGCAAGCUGGCUGCCCAGCGCGACGGCUCGGAGGCGGAGCUGCAAGGCAUGGAGGAGGAGCUCCGGGUGAAAGCGAGUGCCGUCGCCGAGUACGCCGCCUGGGAUGACUUCAUCUUGGAGCGGGGUGAGAACGGCGGCGUGAUCGCCGAGGAUCUGCACGACCUUCAGCCUUACGACGUCGAUGGCAGCGCCGAAGAGGCGGCCUGGGCUGCGGAAUCUGCAGCCGCCUCCAACGGUGGGGCGUAUGUCGACUCCGGGAUCAGCGGAGCCGGGGGCCGCAACGGGGGAGACGACGCAUCCACCUCGGGAGGAGCCGGAGGCAGCGAUGCUUCCACAUCAGGAGCGGCAGCCGAGACGACCCAUGAGGCCGUUGUCCCGUAACUGGCGUCCUUUUGUGUUUUUUGUUCUACCCCCGGAGGGAUGUAACGAACGUGGGCCGUGGGCCAAUGGUUUUUAUGAAUGUAUAUAUUCAGCAUUAUAUUCGUCACCAAGCGUGUUGUCUUAUGAUCCCGUCUUUUGAUUCCUGGUUGACUUCUCUUAUCCGAAGCCAUCAAGACGUAAAGAACAAGACAUAAGCCAAUCAGAGGCCGGCUAGAAUGAACCAACUCGAGCCGGUCGUCACUAGUAUAGCCGGACUGUGCAUGUAUUCGACCUGACCCGACGUCACACCGCGAACCGAGCGACCGGAGCCUGCCUGCAGGUUCAAGCGAUGGACCGGGAUUCAGCUGGUACACUAUGUGCCUGACUACAAGGAUUGACCGUCCGAGCGGCUGGCGAGCCCCCGAGCUUGUUUGAAGCUAGCAAGGGGCCAUGCGGCGUAGCCUCCGGGUUUAAGCAAGCCAGCAAGAGGUGGUACGCGGUGUAGCCCGUACACUGAGUGAAAACUCUUUUAGCAAGAGAAAGCAUGGGGCCUCCUUUUUUCUGCGUAGCCUCCGAGCUUAAGCAAGCCAGCAAGAGGUGGUACGCGGUGUAGCCCGUACACUCAGUGAAAACUCUUUUAGCAAGAGAAAGCAUGGAGCCUGCUUUUUUCGCCAUAUUAGUUGUUCCCGGCAGUCAGAGGCCGUCUUGAGCCUUGAAUGGGAUCAUAUAUACGAUCGAGCCGGCCCGAGCCGGUCGUCCCAAGUAUAGCCGGACUGUGCAUGUAUUCGACCUGACCCGGCGUCACAUCGCGAACCGAGCGACCGGAGCCAGCCCGCAGGUUCAAGCGAUGGACCGGGAUUCAGCCGGUACACCAUGUGCCCGACUACAAGGAUUUGACCGUCCGAGCGGCUGGCGAGCCCCCGGGCUUGUUUAAAGCUAGCAAGGGGCUGCGCUGCGUAGCCUCCGAGCUUAAGCAAGCCGGCAAGAGGUGGUACGCUGUGUAGCCCGUACACAUGAGUGAGAACUCUUGAUAGAAAGAAACAUGGAGCAUGUCCUUUUUAUUGCCUUCUUUGUUUCUCGAAGUGGGAGGAAGAUACAUGUGUAUGCUCUUUCCUUCGCUUGUCUUCCGCCUUCUAGCGGUAGAACGGGCGAAGCAACGCCGCGUUCCAUGGGUGCUUUGUUUCCUGGCCGGAGUCGUCCCUCUUGCGCUUCCUUGGCUUCUGGGCGUCAAUCAGGUAGUAAGCGUUGUUGUGUAACGCCUUACUGAUGAUGAAGGGUCCCUCCCAGGGGGGUGAGAGCUUGUGCUGGCCGGCAGUGCGCUGGAUUCUUCUGAGGACCAAGUCUCCCUCCCUGAAAGAGAGGGGCUUGAUCCUUUUGUUGUGGUAGUAUCUCAGCUUCUGUUGGUAGAUGGCCGUCCGGCUCAAAGCCAAGUCCCUUGCUUCCUCGAGGAGAUCCACACUGUCUUCUCUAGCCUCCUUUGCCUCCAUUUCUAUGUAUAGGGUGACCCGAGGCGAGUCGAAUUCGACAUCCGUGGGAAUGAUGGCCUCAGACCCGUAUACCAGAAAGAAUGGAGUGAAGCCGGUCGACCGGUUGGGCGUGGUGCGGAGGCUCCAUAGUACAGCCGACAGUUCUUCGAUCCAGCAGCCGGCUGACCUGACCAGUGGUGCCACCAGGCUUGGCUUGAUGCCGGCUAGGAUCAGGCCGUUCGCCCUCUCUGCUUGGCCGUUUGACUGGGGGUGUGCCACUGAGGCCAGGUCAAGCCGGAUGCCUACCUUGGAACAGUAGAGCGCCAAGGCGCCCUUGGCGAAGUUGGUGCCGUUGUCGGUGAUGAUGUUGUGGGGAACGCCAUAUCGGACAGAGAUGUCUGUGAUAAACCUGACAGUCGUGGGGCCGUCAAGAUUUUUGAUAGGCCUGGCUUCGAUCCACUUGGUGAACUUGUCGACGACUACCAUAAGAUGCGUCAUUCCUCCACGAGCCGUCUUGAUGGGCCCAACCAUGUCCAGUCCCCAGACAGCGAAUGGCCCUGACAAGGGAAUGGUUUUCAGCGCUGAAGGCGGCAUAUGGCUUUGUGCACUAAAGCGUUGGCAGCCUUCACAUUUGUCCACCAGAUCCACAGCCUCCUCGAGGGCCGUGGGCCAGUAGAAUCCAUGGCGGAAUGCUUUGUCCACCAAGGUUCUGGAGGCGGCAUGAUGCCCGCACUCCCCCUGGUGGAUGUCUCUGAGGAUCUGCUGCCCUUUUUCUGAUUCGACGCAGCGUUGGAACACGCCGGUCAUGCUACGUCGCACCAGCUCGUGAUUGAUGAUGGCGUAGGCAGCGGACCUGCGCUGGGUUUGUCUCGCCUCCGCCUCGUUCUAAGGAAGUUCGCCGCGAAGAAGGAAGGCCAGAAUGGCCUGAGCCCAUGAUGGAGCCGACACAAGGGUCGCCUCCGCUUCGUCUUGACUGUUGGGGCUUCUGCAGCCCCCGAGCCUGAUGGUGUCUCUGGUGCUAUUGCUGCAGCCGGCUCAUCGUCUAUCUCCAUGACGUCCACCCACUGGGAGGGUUCGAGCCUGGGCAGAGCCGGGGUUGUCGUUGUUGGAGUCGGGUGGACCAAUGGAGCCAGAUUAGGAUCCGAAGCCGGCAUAGUUGGUGGAGCCGACGGCGCUUGCACUGCAGACUCAGUCGGUGCCGUAUUUGGAGCCGGUGUCGUUAGUGCAGCCGGCGUGGUGUCCGCAGCCGGCAUAACUGGCGGAGCCAGCGGCGCUUGUAUCGUGGAUUCGGCCGGUACGAAGAUUGAUGCCGACUCCGGAGACGGCUUGAUAGACGGCUUGUGGAGUUGCUCGAGGGAGACGUCGGCUGGGAUGGCCUGCCUUGUGGAGCCGAUUUUGCCAGCGUAUCUGCCGCCUCAUUUUCCGCCCUAGGAACAUGGUGGAACUCACAACCCUCGAAGGGGCCGCUGAGCUGUUGGAUGAGGAAGCGGUAGCUUGCCAUGUUGGCGUCCCUGGCAUCCCAUUCGCCAGAGACCUGCUGCACCACCAGAUCCGAAUCGCUGAAGCAUAUGAGCCGCCGGAUGCCAAUCUCCUUGGCAAGCCGGAGGCCGUGGGCCAGUGCUUCGUAUUCGGCGACGUUGUUGGAGGCGGCGAAGUGGAUCUAGAGAGCGUACUUGAGUUGGUCCCCUUUCGGAGACGUCAAGAUGAUGCCGGAUCCCAGUCCCGUGCGCAUCUUCGAGCCGUCGAAGUGCAUCCGCCAAUGCGUGGAGUCUGGAGGCGGUGGCUCGAACUGGGUCUCGGCCCAGUCGGCUAAGAAGUCGGCCACCACCUGUGAUUUGAUGGUGGUGCGAGGUUCGUACCGAAUGUCGUGGUCCGCCAUGGCGAUGGACCACUUGGCAAUUCUGCCCGUGGCAUCACGGUUGUCCAUGAUCUCUGAUAGCGGAGCAGUGCUCACCACAGUGAUGGCAUGCUCUUGGAAGUAUUGUUUUAAUUUCUUAGCACCAAGGUAAACACCAUAACACAUUUUAUGAUAAUGAGGGUAGUUCUGCUUAAAGGCGGACAAGACCUCACUAAGGUAGUAGACAGGGCGCUGCCCUCCUCUUUGCACUGAACUACCAACACUACGCUAACCACUCGAGUGGUCGCCGCGAUGUAUAUGAGUAUGGGUUCCCUUUCAGAUGGGGCUGCUAAGAUUGGCAGGCUCGAGAUUACCCGCUUGAGGUCGCGGAAGGCUUCGUCCACCUGCUCGUUCCACUCAAACUUCGUCGUCUUCUUCAUGAGCUGGUAGAGUGGAAGAGCCUUCUCGCCAAGCCGGUUGAUGAACCGGCUGAGAGAUGCCAAGCAGCCGGCGAACUUCUCGACGUCGAGGAUCCGAGCCGGCCGCACCAUCCGCUCGAUGGUGCUGAUCUUCUCAGGGUUCGCUUCGAUGCUGCGGGCGGAUACGAAGAACCCCAAGAGUUUGCCGCCUGGGACCCCGAAGACACACUUCUCCGGAUUGAGCCGGAUCUUGUAUUCGCGCAGAUUGGCGAAUGUCUCUCGCAGGUCGUCGAGGAGGCUGAAGUGCUGCUUCGUCUUGACGAUGAUGUCAUCCACAUAGACGUGGAUGUUUCUGCCAAUCUAUGGUAGUAGGCACUGCUGCAUGCAGCGUUGGAAUGUCGCACCUGCGUUUUUCAGACCGAACGUCAUAGGGGUGUAGCCGUAGGCCCCGAAAGGCGUGAUGAAGGAGGUCUUCAAGCGAUCAGCUGGCUCCAGCUUGAUUUGAUGGUAGCCUGAAUAAGCAUCCAGAAAUGACAGCAGUUCGCAGCCUGCAGUGGAGUCGAUCACUUGAUCUAUCCUAGGCAACGCGAAGGGGUAUUUCGGACAGGCCUUAUUCAGGCUAGUGUAUUCGAUGCACAUUCUCCAUGUGUUGUUCUUCUUCAGCAUCAGGACUGGGUUGGCCAGCCAGUCCGGGUGGAAAACCUCCAUGAUGAAGCCGGCUGCAAGGAGUCGGGUGAUCUCUUCUCCGAUUGUGCAUCGCUUCCCCUCGGCGAAGCGGCGCAAAGGUUGUUUCACCGGCUUUGCAUCCGCUCGCACGUGAAGUUUGUGCUCGGCGUACUUCCUCGGGACACCCGACAUGUCCUUGGGGACCAUGCAAAGAUGUCCCGAUUCUCAUGGAGGAAGUCAACGAGCUUGCCUUCCUAUUUGGGGCUAAGGCCAGCCCCGAUGGUGAUGCACUGCUUCGGGUUGGCAGGGUCGAGUUGGACCUGCUUGGUCUCUUUAGCAGGCUUGAAAGAGCCCUCGCCGGCCGAUUGGGACGGAGGAGAAGAAAUCGCCGGUUGCUCGGUAGCCUGGGCCAUGAUACGGUCGAUCUACCGCUUCUCCUCGGCAAUCACCAAGGCGUCGGCGAGGCGGCUGCUAUCUUGGGCGCACUCGAGCGACUUCUUGUAGUCGCCAACAACAGUGAUGAUGCCCUUGGGACCCGACAUUUUCAUCUUCAGGUAGGCGUAAUGCGGAAUAGCCAUGAACUUGGCCAGAGCCGGUCUCCCCAGCAGCGCGUGAUACAGGCUACUGAGGUCCACCACCUCGAACCAUAUGGACUCACGGCGGAAGUGGGCCUUGUCGCCGAAGAGGACGUCUAGCUGGAUCUUGCCGAUGGGCGACCACGACUGCCCAGGCACGAUGCCGUGGAAGACAGUGCUGGUUGGCAGGACGUCCGUCUCCUUGAGCCCGAGCUUUCGGAGAGUGUCGAGGUAGAGGAUGUUGAUGCUGUUGCCGCCAUCGACCAGCACCUGGGAGAAUCGACAAGUGAGCCUCUUGGAGGCGAAGGUGGGGUCGAGGACGAGUGUGUAUGACCACAGGUUGGGCAUCACCGCAGGGUGGUCCACCCGGCUCCAUGUAAUUGGUUUGUCGGACCAAUGCAUGUACUGGGGAACCGGGGGGACAGUGGCAUUUACCUUGAGCCGCCUUUGGCGCAGGCUGUGCUUGUCGUCGCCUUCACUAGUGAAGACGACGAAUGCUCCGUCUUGAUGCGGGUAGUCGUCAGGGUGUGGGCCGUCGUCGCGAGGCGGCGGCGGCGGAAGCGGAGCGUGAUGGGGAGCCGGUGCACGGGGCGCCACCUGCGCACCCGGGGGAGCCGGCAUUCCCUCCCCUUGCGACAGCCAGCAUGCGAUGCUGCACUGUCGAAAGGUAUGGGUAGACGGCGCCGCCCCCGAAUGUAUCUUGCAGGGGGCGUCGAGCAGCUGCUCGAGAGUCUGCUUGGGCAGCGAGUUGGGGUUGCCCUGAUUGCGACGCUUUCGUGGAGGGCCGGCUUGGGAAGCCGACGCCUCGCCCUCCAUGUUGGCCACUAGCUUGUUGUUGGCCAUCUGAUCCGCCUUGCGCUUGUAGUUGUUCUUGCCGCCUCGGUUGUCCCCAGCCGACUUGGGAGUAGCCGGCGCAGGCACAACCUUGUCCGAGGCGGUCACCUUGAUGCGCAUCGCGGAGUCGGCCGUGGCGUACUUGUCCUCCUUGGCCAUGAGCACCGCCAAGGAGGUGGGCUCGGUGCACAUGAGCUUGUGCUUGAGGAGGGUGCCGUCUCGGCAUCCAUCGAUGAAGUAUUGUAUGGCUUGUACCUCAUGCACCCCCUCACAGGAGUUGCAGAGCUCAGUCCAUCGGGUGACGUAGUCGCGGAGGGGUUCGUCGGCCUUCUGGACGCACAUGGCCAGCUCGCGAGGCCGACCAGGGUGCUUGUAAGUGCCGGUGAAGUUGCGGACGAACGCCUCCUCGAAGUCCACCCAGGAGUUGACGCUGCCGGCCGGGAGGCUGUUAAGCCACGUCCGGGCCGAGCCGGCCAUCAUGAGUGGCACGUAGUGAACCACUACGCGCUUGUUGCCCCUGGCAAUGCCUACGGCCGUGGUGUAGUCGAUCAGCCAGUCUUCCGGCUUGGCCGUGCCGUUGUAUUUCGGCGUAUCCCGAGACAGGGUGAAGCCUCGGGGGAACGGCUCCCCUCGGAUCCGGGGGCCGAAGCAAGCCGGACCGACGGGUCCGUCUUCCUCUAGGAGGGCCGAAUGGGCCAGGGCGAUGAUACGCCGGCGGGCGUCCCGCUCGUCCUGGGAGGCGGGGGCGCCAGCCUUGGUGGCGAGAGGGGAGGCUCCUCGGGAACCGGAUGCGUGAGUUCUUCACGGGGGAAGAUCCCCGUACUCCGAGUCGCCCUCGUCGCCUCCACGACAUAGGCCCGAAGUGUGCUCGCUCUGGUGUUGCGAGCGCCGGCCUUGGCUUCCCUCGCCCCUCCAGCCGGAAGGGCGAUGCGAGGAAGAUCCUUCGGCGUGGUGUUCUCCGCUAGGGUCGCGGCGAGCCCCCGAGUUCGGCCCCGGGGACUCUGAAUGAGCCUGGCCGUGGUCGAACCGAGCGUGCUACUGGUUAGCAGCGUCAAGGAGAUCCUUGAUGCGCUUCUCCUGGAAGGCGCGCUCCUCGCCUUCCAGGCUGGCCAUCUCCUCCAUGGCCGCCUGCGCCGCUCGCAUGUUGGCCGCAGGAGUCUCGUAGGUGGGCAGGUCCCCGCCUAGGACCUCGGCGACGAACCGUCCGCGGCUGCGGACCGAUCCAAGCCGGCUGGGGGCCUCGGAAAUCGGAGUAAGACCAUAUGCGGAGUUAUACUCACGAUGUGUAGCCUCCAACUGACGUUUUGCCGAGGCCACGGCGAUGCCCUCCUCCAAGAUACGCUUGGGAGCCUCCUCCAGUGAGGCCCGAGCGUCUGCAGGGUCAGCAGAAGCGGCGACCGGUGUCUUCAGGCCGGCGAUGGCGUCCCGAAGAGUGUUGGCGGCGGCCGCAGCGGGCUCGCCAGCGCUUGCGGAGGCCUUGCCGGGAGCCGUGCUCGUGCCGGCGCCGAUAACCAUCACCUCCAUGGCGUUGGAGAUGGCAGCGACGUGGUAUGGGGUGAAGAACCCCACCGAUGGCGGAGGGCCGUCGAAGAUGAGGACGUUACUGGGGUAAACAUCAUGGGUAGGCGUCUCAGCGAUAGAGAGCCUGCUGAAACUGGCGCAGAGCGCCUCAACAUCGUAAUCCUCGCCGAAGUAGCGUGGGCCGUUGUUGAGGCGAAGGUCGCUGAAGAGAACGAUGAGGUUCUCCAUAGCUGCGACGACGACGCUAGGAAGCGCCUCGUCAUCAGAAUCUUCGUUCGAAUCCGCAUGGCGGACGGGGACGUCGAUCAUCAUGGGCGUCGCCUCAUCGAAAGCGAGCUCCACGGGCAUGCAGACUGAUCCGGACGCGAUGCAUCCGGUGGUGUAGGUGCGGGGCCCCGCCCAGCGCGUGAAGCCAGCCUAUGCUGCGAUCGGCCCCAUGGUGGGCGCCAAAUGUCGGUGAAUACUCACAACAUAUGCCAUAGGUAGGCUAAAGUCGGUGAGAACCGAAGGGACAAAAGUGGGCGCUGGGAACAAGGUUGGUACACGCAUGGAACGCACGAUGUACCCAGGUUCAGGGCUCUCCGUGGAGAUAAUACCCCUAAUCCUGCUUGUGUGUUUGAUGUAUGGGAACAUAGUACAAUGUUGCUCCUGGAGCUGUGUUGGGAGGAGGAAGAGGGCAGCAGCCGGCUCGUCUCUACCUCGCUCUCUGUUGGUUGGUGAGUGUGUAGUGUUGAAUGAAUGGCAAGUGAUCGGUCCCCCUGCAUGGGGGGCGGCCGGGGGGUUUUAUGGACGAACCCUCCGGCCUACAAUAUGGAUAAAAGGUACAAGUGUGGGACCCGGCUGGCUGCUUCGCCAGCUGGCCAGGGGCCCACAAGGGUCUUGUCUUGUCGAUGAGGGGCCCGCCGGCUGCAUGGUCUCGUUUACCUAUGGGACCCGCCGGCUCGCCAAUGGGGCUCCCGCGUAAGGUUGACGCUAAGCACGCGUUGUACGUCAAGCGUCGCUCCACGAGAUUCUUCAUGGGCAGGCAGUUCGACCGCCUCCACUGUUCCCCACGCCGAGUGCAGUAAUGGAGUGGGAGUGUGACGGUCCGACACCAGGCUAGGUGAUGGAUCAGAGCCGGGGUAGGUCAGUGCCGUGGCCGCCGACGCUCGUACCUGCUGGGCGCCCCGAUCCAGUACAUUUACUGACGCGUAGCUACCUUUAAUCGUGAGGUCCUUUCCUGACCUACGAUCUGAUGUGACUAGGGAUCCUCGGCCGGCUAGCCUGCUUGGUUAGCCGGCACACGGGUGGCCGCCUCCUCCCUAGUCCGGCUGGCGAGACCAGGCCGGCUCUGAAGGGGAGGCCGCCUGCGCUCUAGCCGGCACGGGAUGCCUGGCCGGCCAGAAAGGUGGCCGCCUCGUCUUCUAGUCGGCAGGCGAUGCCCAGCCGGUCAGAAGACUUGGGCCUUGGGAAUCUCCCUAUCUUCUUGUUCAUUGGGCCAGAAAUGAAGGAGCAGGCUUGAUGAGCCUACCCCGGGGUUAUCCCCCCGACACUUCUCCUCCUCCUCCACCUCUUUCUUCUCCUCUUNUCUUCUCCUCUUUCAUAUAUCCUUGCUUUAAUUUCCCCAACAAUGACAUAAUUAACCCAUUUAGCUCCAAAAUGCCAUAAUAAGCUAAAAAUGGCAUAAGAACCUUGGUUAGCUCAUGAAUAUUAUAUUCUUAGCUUGUUUUCCGCUAAAAUGACAUAAUUAGCUCAAAAACAUCAUAUUUUGUUCUUCUUCUGACUUUCUUAUUCACAUUUUUGCAGAUUGGAUAUACUACAUGCAUGGAAGCUGGCAUUCAUGGAGUUGAACAAUGUCGAUGGAUAAACUUUACAUGUAUAUCAUCUAGUUUUCAUUUGAGUUGAUGAACAAUGUCGAACUAUAUGCAUAUGUAUAUAUGGAUAAACUGUGCAAUACUUUGUAUGUUGGUUCUUUCGAUAUAUGGGGAUGUACAUUGAUUUAUAUGUAUAUCAUAUAUGUGUGGUGAAUUAUAUAUAUGUGUUGGCAAGUAUAUGUGUGGUGAACUAUAUAUCAUAUAUUGUGAUGAAUUAUAUAAAUGUGAUGUCAAAUAUAUAUAUAUGUGUGUGUGUGUGUGUGUGCUGUGAAAUAAUAUAAAACAAAAAAACAGGUACUAUAUGGGCUCUUUGUCGUCUGCCAGCUGAUGGCAAAGACCUGUGCCAUCAGCUGGCAGAUGGCAAAGGUGCCACAUGGCACCCAGUUGUGCAUCCUUGGGUGUCUAUAUAGGCUCUUUGCCAUCUGCCUCCAGGGUGGGCAGACGACAAAGAAGAGGGCACAGAGGAGGGUGGAGGAGGAGGCAGACGGCAAAGAGUGGAGGGGGCGGAGGAGGAGGCAGACGACAAAGAAUAAGGGGGAGGCACACGGCAAAGAAUAAAGGGGAGGCAGACGGCAAAGCCUCCGUUAACCCCUAACGGAGGCAACGCCUGUCGACUGCCGUCUCGAGCACUUUGCCGACUGCUCCUAUGGAAAGCUGACGGCAAAGAGCUUUGUCGUCCGCUUUGGGGGGACAGACGGCAAAGAAGGUACGAUGUCGUCGUAGGCUGACGCAGAAAUUUUGCCGGCCGUGAGAUUCUUUGCCGUCUGUGGUAUUCUCUUUGCCGUCCGGGAUUUAGUCUUUGCCGUCUGUGAUGGCAGACGGCAAAGAAGCUGAUUCAUGUAGUGUAAUGUGAUUAUCACAAUUGGAGGUUAUGAUUUUUUUUCUCCCGUUGCAACGCACGGGCCUUUUGCUAGUGAGUACCUAUAAAGCUACACACGUACCUCUGCACUCCCUACACACGUCUGUGCAUCGGUGCAACUAUAAAACUACACACGUACCUCUGCACUCCCUACCCUCCAUGAUGCUAGCUUAGGUAGUAGUAAGAGCGUGGUUAAUAAUAGUACAGUCAAUGGCUAACUAUAUGAUGUUAACACAUCAUCUAUAUCCAAGUUUAUAGCCGGUAAGUAGAAUAAGUACUACUUUAUUGAUACAAAAUCCAUCAUCCUCUCUUACAAAGUGUUUAGAACACUAUUAAAAAAAGGGCCUUUUGUCCCGGUUCGUAAGGGCCUUCUGUUCCGGUUUUGGAACCGAGACAAAAAAAGUCGUUACUAAUGACCUUGGCCUUGAGUCCCGGUUCUUACACGAACCGGGACAGAUGGGCCUCCACGUGGCCGCUGCGGCCUGGCCAGGCAGGGGGGCCUUUAGUCCCGGUUGGUCACACCAACCGGGACCAAAAGGCAUCCAUGCAUCAGUACCUGGCUGGAGCUGAGUUUUUUUUUUGAAAGGGGCUGGUUUAGGGGUUAAUUUAGGUUGUUAUAGCUAACUAAUAGAGAAAAGUGUCCUCUCUUAUAUAUCUCCGUGCUUGGUUUACCAACGCUACUGCUAUGCCUAACGUUAACACGGCUUAGAUUGAAGUGAAGGCAACAUGUGGUGCAUGUCGAAAGUAAUACUAAUCCUAACUUGAUCAAGUUUGGAUUGUACUACUUUUGACAUGCACCACAUGCAUGUUGCCUUCACUUCAAUAAUCCAAUCCAUGUUCAUUUCACCCGCUAAUAUAUAAUAACUCUUCAUGCUCGCAUCAUGCAUCAUCAUAUAUAAUAACAAGUCCUACUAAUUAAUCAUCAUCAUACAACUUCUACUCGUUAUUAAUAACAAGUCAUACGAUCAUCAUCCUCAUAGUCAUCGAACCAACCCUACUUAAUUAUUCUUAGCACAUGAUCAUCAGUAUUAGGUAGGACCAAUAAGCAAAAACCAAAUUGUAAAAUAAAGUAGUAUUCAAUUUAGCAUGCAUUCAAUUAUAAGAAAAACUACAUCAUCUCUUGUGUCCAUACAUCGUCGAAUAUUAUCACUAAUACUCCUCGAAUACUAUCAUACAUAUAGCAUCAUUAAUACAUCUAGAACCGUAGCGCCUGACGGGUAUCGUCGUGGGCGGUGGACACCCAAAGAGAAGGAACCAUCACAGGAUCAUAGCUCCAGUGAGAUCCCUGAAGAACCUGCCAGGUAUUGUCGAACCUUCCCUCCAACGCAACCAUGUAGCAACGGACGUGCUUGUCCUCCUCGCUCACACGGUGACGUAUCACCUCCGCGGUGUCCGAAAGCCUCUGCACCGUCACUGGCCCACGCGACCGACACCAAACAAGGAUCAGGUCAACAACGGGCUGGCUCCUCACCAACCUACGCCCCCGGAAGAUAGCACCUCCCAAUACCAGCCGGGCGGAGCCGAGUCCCGGACAUGACCCCUCUGAUCAAGCCGGCCUCCUCCGCCGAGUCGACGACGAGGAUGCGGGAUAGGAAUCAUAAAAUGAAAUAAAAAAAUAAACUAGUUUUAUUAAUUUUCUUGCUAAAAAUAAACUAUUUUUAUAUAGAGUAAAAUAAAGUAGUUUUAUUAAUUCUCUUGGAAGAAUUUUUUGUUAUGUUGUCCAUGACAAGCGGGACAUUGGCAAUGGGUCCGCUGCGUACAAUAGAGGACGUUGAUUGCUGACCAUGAGAUACAUUAUGUUGCCGAAAUUUCCUAUUUGCCACAUGUCUUGAGCUUAGAGUUGAAGAAAGUGGUUGAAUUAUUCAGCACACUAGCUAAAACUUCAAAGGUAAUGAGGGCCAUUUCACAACAUUUGUGACCACAAAUCAUUUGAUGAAUGAACUGGUAAAAUAAUUUGUAACCAUAUGUAAGUAGUCAUAGCUCUAGCGCACUAUGAUCCAUUCUAUUGCACUGAUAUGUAGGACGAGACCUGCAGAUAUAUCUCAUCAUCACCUAAACUUAGUGCACAUCAAGUAAUGGUUCCGUUGUAUAUUCUAUAUGGUACAUCAUAAUCAUGGGACUGUUGCACUUAAACUUAAUGGACAUUAAGUAAGAAUUUCGUUAUAUCGGUGACUUUCUUUGUUUUGUUGAUGUGCUAUUUUAUUUUGUUUGUUUUUCUAUUUCUACAAUCACUAACACAAUAUAUACUUCUGGAUCCUAUUGGAAACUGGGACCAUUAUGUCUCCCAAACAAACGCCACGCCUUUGUUUAGUAUCACUAAAUAUUCACAAAUCUAUCGGUUCUACGGACCCAGAAGAAGAAAAUUAGUACGAGGAGCUCCAGCAUCCUGUGCGCCGAUGAAGGAGAUGUGCGCUGGUGGUAAGGGGCUCGGGCCGGACCCGCUGAGUAUGCUCACAGCGGCAGUAGCAGGUGUAGGCACCGUUCGUCAUCAAGGAGGUUCUCUAGACAGUCACCAUUCUAGCUAUAGAAAAAUCAGUAUCUGAAUUCCUAUGGCCAGCUCCCUAGACUGGAUUUAUGCGGCACAUAGCACAUAUUGAAAAUUAAAUGGACUACUGACAAAACGCCAACCCAGUCCCAUAAGGACGUUAUCACAAGUGAAGCUAUGGCGAGAGAGAGAGAGUAUGUGUGUGUGCGCGCGCUUGUUCAUGAUGGUAUAGUACAUGGCAUAGACUUCCCAACUACUUUCUCAUAUGCACGAGCACAACAGCCAGGGACGAAUCCAAGGGGGGAGGGGGGGGCUAGACCCCCCCUAUGACUUCGUUUUACUAACUAGCGAUUAGCAGGCCGACAGAAAAAAAUGAUUAUUUCGCUAAUAGCGCCCCCUGACCACGUGAAGCCCAACAAAAAAAUCACCAAGUCCGUCUUUAAAACGCCUCCAGAAGUAGCCCAACAUAACGGGAUAUGAUCAGAUCGUUUAAUUUUCUUGCGUGCUAUGCCAGUCGCCUAGAUCUAGCCGCCUAGGGUAGUUCUUGAGCAGCGCUGAUUCAUUCUGAUCCUGAACGGUCAACCUUGAGCAGACGAGAUUGCGUGUAAAAUGGUGAAGGGGCGACGACCAUCCUUGCUCGGACGGGUGGCCGGCCGGCCGGUCAGUCUCUUCUCAUUCUCGUUAUUAGUCCUUGCUUAUCUGCCUAAAUCAGAUUAAUAUAAUCCUUUAGAACUACACAAUUAUAACUGUAGUAGAAGAUUAAUUAGGGAAUACAUCCCUUUAUCCGUGGGACAAGGUUACGGAUUGUUUAUCGCAUCCUAUAGUAGAAAAUUUUAGUUCAUUCAAAUGUGAACUGCUUUAGCUUUUCUUGAUGGUAUCUUCUGAUAAAAAUUUAACUUGCUCACAGCAGAUGCAUGCUUAGAUGAAGAUUUAGUAUGUUAACCUGGCUCCUAGGCUGUUUUUGUGUGUUUUUUUACGAAUCUCUACAUUAGAGGCAAAAAGAAUUUUGCCCCCCCCCUAUAUUUGAAUCCUUGCUCCGUCCCUGACAACAGCAUAUGCAAGGUAAUUUGUUGUUAAAGUGCGACAAAGAGGAAUGUAAUAUUUAGUUGAGCACACUAGGCGCUAAUUAGGGCCAGGGAGACUAGUGGACAACAACACAAACGAAUCCGCGCAUUUGGAAAAGAAAAUAGUUAUGACGGUGUGCAUACCUUAAGUAGAAAUCACACUCUCAUUUGUCGAUUUCAUUUUAUUUUUUAUGAUUAGAGAAUGGCACCUCUACAACCUUGUCAUUUGAAUGUGUAAUAUAUUUGUUGUAAUCCAACCUACCUAAUGCCCAUGGUAUUUUUUGUUAUUUUAUGCUAUAAAACAUCAAAUUUAUCCUAUCACAUGUGUCAUUUCCUUGGUAGACACUAUUCUUGUUUCUUUCUCAUCCUCGUGUGACUAAAACAUCAAAUUUAUACUCUAAAUGACACUCCACGAAAAGAAAUUUUCAUGUUGAGAAGGAUUAGGUGUUUGUUUACAACAUCCCGAUCGACUGAGUAUGUUAAGGGCUUGUUGUAGCCUGGUGCAAAGCCAAAUCGUUCACCUUAUCUCUUUUUUUCCAAAACAUCGCCGUGAGAUGCUUCACUUUUCUAAUACUCAUGUACUACAAGUCCAUAUACAACGGGAACCAAAGGUUAAAUCCAAGUAUAGUUUCAUACAACAAAAAUUGCUUGAGUUUUAACUUUGAAGGCAUUUUGGCAUCGGUUGAAUGGUCUAGUCUUGAAUUAAGAUAUCCUAUAUGUUUGUUACUACUAGUUUUAUUGGUAAUUUCUUUGGUUGUAUUACAAAUAUAUUUUAAGUGGCAUUCAUGGUAAGCGCGACACAGUGAUCCUUACUUUCUUAGACUAACAACGAACCAUUUCGUAUUUUCUUUUUUAAUCUCCAGUAUUGCUUAAUAAAGUUAGCUAUUAUGUGUGCUAUAACACUACAAGAAAUAUGUCAACUAACGACCUUUUUCCAGUGACGCUGGAAGGAAUGGUCAUAAAUCUAUGACCAUUUGACAUCAUUUGGUCGUAAGCUAUCUGGAGGGGUCUUAGCCCCAAAAACCAACGACCAUUUUCAUCAGAAAGGUCAUCACUUGCUUACUGAAAAAGGUCAUAAAGCGGACAGCACCUCACAUUGUCUUAUUUCUAGGUGAUAAUGACCAAUAUGAAUGGUCGUUACUAGGCUGGUGACCAGCGGUGGUGGUGCUGACGCCACGGCCACCUCACCCAUCGGCAGUUGUUGCUAUUGCUGUUGCUAUCUACAUCAGAGAGCUGAAUUGAGAUGUUGCAUAUUGCUAACCAGUCGACCAUAACAUCCUGCCAUAACAUCAGUGAAGCAAAAUAGAAGCAGCAAAAUAGAAGCAGUCAUAACAUCCUGCCACCAUAACAUCAAAAGUAUAACACAUUUCAACACAGUUCACAACAACCUGCCGAUAACAUCAGUGCGCAAAACUACAACAGUUCACAACGACAUCGAUAAACCGAGGAUCAUGGAGGGUGACUAAAUGGGACCUAGAGCCUUCAGGAGGGCUGCAUGCUCUGCCCUGGUCUUGAUGUCUUGAUCAGCACUCCGCGAUAAACCGCAUCCAUGCGACAUAAGGUGUUCAUAAAUCUCAUCCCUGGGCUUUGGCUUUGUGGUGCAGUAUGGCCAUCUGAACAUUCCACUCCUGAAGUAGGCCGCCUUCCCCUUCUCCCUGAUCUUCUAGGCUUCCUUCUCAAUGAAGGACUCUUUGUUGCCGUCCUCCACGUCAUCUUCAGAGUUAUACUGCACACACAAAUUAAUUACGCACACAUUAUGCAUUCAUAUAGGCAUUAUGGAGCCAGAACACACACUUAUGAUUCAGAAUGAUGCAAUGAACAAACAUCAGAUAAUUCCCAUUUACCAAAUUUUAAUGAACAAACAAAGAAAAAAGUCAUGUACAGUAAUCUAAUUAAACAAACAACAUUAAAAAACUCUCUACAUCGAUUUCAUUAAAAAGCCCACCAACAUGCAUUCAUAUAGUGCUUACGUUGAACUAAAAUAGUUGGGAUUACCUCAUACGGUUCGUCGUCGUCGUAGUCAGUCAUACGGGCUCUUGAACCCAGUCUUGGCGAGCUUCCUCUUCAUGCCUGCAGCUUCCUUUUCCUACAAUAUAAGUAAUUCGAUUAGUACAAACUAUGUAACACAGUAUUCAAAAGGUCAAGCAUUCAACAAUGUGCUUCUAAUUACAUUCAUAGUGCUGCUACAUCCGCCACCCUAUUCUCUCUGCACUGGGUAUGUCCUUUGUGCAUUUCACUUAUACAAUCUUUCGAUCCUUCAUACAAAGAUUUAAAUGUCCUUUCAAAAAAUCAAACUGUACUUUGUAACUAUAUGUUAUGUAUACACUUCUUUUGUCAGGACAUGUGCUGGAUGUCACAAUGAAAUUGGCCAUGGACGUUUUCUUAGUUGCAUGGGAGCUGUUUGGCAUCUAGAGUGCUUUUGCUGCCAUGCUUGUAAUCAACCAAUAUAUGACUAUGAGGUAGCUCUUUGUUGUUUUGUGUACUAAUUAAGCAGUUGCAUUGGUAUUGACUUUACCAACAAAAACAUGCAGCUCUCCAUGUCAGGAAACCAUCCAUACCAUAAAACUUGUUACAAGGAGCGCUUUCAUCCAAAAUGUGAUGUCUGCAAGCAAUUUGUAAGUAUCACUUUAUUAUCUUUUUUUAUCUAUUUGCAUAAGACGAUUCUCUCUGUUCUGCAUUUUAUAUAGCAGAACAUUACACUAUUGGGCUGCUCAGCCCCUGCCGUGCCCCGGUGAGGGGAUAACCACAACAAAUCUAUCAACAUAUCCGACACAUAAUAAAAUCUAAGCACAUGCAGCAAUCAAGAUCCCAAUUCAAAACCUAACUCUUAUUAAAUCCUUACUAAUAAUCCCAAUAAAAUGCAAGAGAGGGGGCAGAGCUAGGCGAAAUUUAGGAAUGGGUGUUCGUAUAUAUCAAGCACAUGACUUAGGUGAAAUAUUUACUAAUAAGAGAAAGAUUCCAUUGAUUCAAGCCAACAAAAUGCAAAAGUUCGUCAACACAUGCAAACGCAGAGUGUGUUCUGCUCUCUGAAUAUAUGCUAAAUCUCCUGCUUAUCAAUGAUAACUAUGAAAGCAGGGGAACGGGAAGCAUUACCACAUCCACAUGCACAAAUCAAGAUUGAAAUUAAAGAAAUCCAAGUCUCAAUAUAUAAAUCUAAGUAGAAUUCAAGCACGAAUCAACUAUAAAAAAACCAGAAAACCCUAUCUAAAAAACCCACCUCAUCGUCGGCAGCACCGCUCGAGGUCGUGUCCUCCUGCUUCGGCACCUCCUUAAGAUCCGCAGCGGCGACAACGGUUGCAGUCGUGUCCUCCUGCUUUGGCACAGGCACCUCCUCAAGUUCCGCAGCGGCAGCGACAGCAGUUGCGGGCGUGUCCUCCUGCUGCUUCGGCACCUCAAGCAGAUCCGCAACGGCGACGGCGCGACGAGCGCCCUCCAUUGUGAGACGAGGCGACGAGGGAGACGGUGCGAUGAGGGAGACGAGGGAGACGAAGUGGGAGACGAGGCGACGAAGUGGGAGACGAGGGAGACGAGGCGACGAGGGAGACGAGGGAGACGAAGUGGCAGUUCCCUCGUUAUACGAUGUGACAGUUCCUGCAAUGUCCCGUCCGCCACGUGUCGUCCGGGACAUCUUACAAAAAAAACAAAUGGCAUAGACACCUUCAAAAAAACAAAUGGCCCGCUCGAACCUGGUCGGCACGAACCGGUUCGGUCGGUCUUUGUGUCUUGCUCGAACCUGGUCGACCGAGCCAGUCUACUCUCCUCACACUCUGCCCCCUCGUCGCCGAAGCUCGUCGGCCGCCACCACCUCCGUCGUGCCAUGGUUUACAAGGAUGAGAGUAGCAACGACCUAUCGAGCCUGGACAUCAGCUCUUCCUCGGACGGCAUGACGUACCGUGUAAUUUGUAGAGCUAGGGUUAGGUUUAGGGUUUCAGUUUCUUCACAUUGGGGAUUUAUCUUUGUUUCUUGGUUCUUCUUUAGAUCCCUCCUAGCAUCAACAACAAAGACUACAUGGGCAUCGAUAAUUCUGUCCUGGAUGUUUGCUUGGAGCAUGGGCUGCCGCCUGAGCGUCGCGUAGCAUUCGAAGGAUUUGAGACAGGGAGAAGAUUUUUAGUGUGUGCUCAGCCGGUUAGUUCUAUCUUCUUUAGUGUUAGACAUGCAUGAAGUUGCUUCUGUUUUUUCUAUCUGGCUCAAAAUAUUCAGACUGUCAGUGUUUACUACAUCACUGUCAUUGUUUGUUUAGCUCAAAUAUUCACACUAUCAUUGUUUAUUACAGCACUGUCAUUGCUAGUUUAGCUAAAAGAUUCUGGCUUGUUACAGCACUGUCAUUGCUUGCUUAUUUAUUACACCAGUGUCAUUGCAUGUUUAUUACAGAAUUCUGGCUUGUUAUUUUCUGGUUAUUUUGUAUUGCUAAAGUACUGAUUAUUUUGUAUUGCAGCCACCUCAAAAUUGUGGUUUUGUCGGUUGGGUAGACCAAGAGUGGCCUCCCACAAUGCAAAAUGCAUUGUUAAAACUGAGGGAAAUGUUGGAAGACAGCAAGAGUGCUAGGAGGGAUGAUAAUUUGGAGAAUUCACUGAAAAUUCACCACCUCAUAGAGGAAAAAAGAAAUCUUGAUGCAAACUAUGACAAACUAGUAGAAGAUGUGAAUCAACUGCUCAACCUUGCAGAAGCUCAAGGCGGGGUCAUUAGGACCCAGAAGGCAAAUCAUUUGAAGGAGAAGGACAAACUUAAUGAUGAAAUUUUGGUCCUCAACCUUCACAUUGAUGGUCUGAAGAAAGGAAUUGAGAAUCUGAUUAAACGCAGGGAUGAGCUGAAGAUCCAGAUUGUUGAUCAGUUGAAGGCAUUGGAUAAGAACCAAGAGAAGUUGAAGAUGAUCAGGGACAUUUUGGAUGGAUGAGCUGAUCAGAUGAAGAUGAAGUCCACUAUGCUAUGGUUGAUGUGUUGUUGUGUUGCUGUGUUGCUCUUUUGUACCAAUGUUGUAAUGCAAGAUGAUCAGAAUCUCUAUAUUAUGUAUGAUUAAGUGACUCCACUAUGCUAUGUUUUUAAUUGUACUAUGCUAUUGUUGGUGUGUUGCUUUUUUGUAGCAAUGUUGUAAUGCAAGAUGAGAAGAAUCUCUUAAUUAUGUAUGAUUAAGUGACUUUAUCUUUGUUCAACCCAAGUAUGUUGAUAGAUUGGUUGAUCUUACUUGUUGUAUCUUAUUUGUUCAUAGAUUGGUUUAAGUGACUUCUUAUUUGUUGCAAAUGUCUUUCAAGCCACACAAAUGAGCUAUCAUGUGUGAAGAUUCAUGGCUUUCAAGCCACAUGAUCAAUCUCAUGGCCAUAUUCAUGGCAUAGUUUGUUGAAAUGGUCUCAUAUUUUGCAUAAUGGUGCAUGUUGGAGUAACAAACAAUGUUGAUUAAGGAAGUUUUCAUCUUCCUUGUAUGAAAAAUUCAUUUUUNNNNNNNNNNNNNNNNNNNNNNNNNNNNNNNNNNNNNNNNNNNNNNNNNNNNNNNNNNNNNNNNNNNNNNNNNNNNNNNNNNNNNNNNNNNNNNNNNNNNNNNNNNNNNNNNNNNNNNNNNNNNNNNNNNNNNNNNNNNNNNNNNNNNNNNNNNNNNNNNNNNNNNNNNNNNNNNNNNNNNNNNNNNNNNNNNNNNNNNNNNNNNNNNNNNNNNNNNNNNNNNNNNNNNNNNNNNNNNNNNNNNNNNNNNNNNNNNNNNNNNNNNNNNNNNNNNNNNNNNNNNNNNNNNNNNNNNNNNNNNNNNNNNNNNNNNNNNNNNNNNNNNNNNNNNNNNNNNNNNNNNNNNNNNNNNNNNNNNNNNNNNNNUUGGUCCAAAUCAUUUUUUAACAUACUAGGCCAUAUUUAAUUUACAAUUGACAAAAUGGUUGGGUGUCAAAAGCUUUUAUCCAUCUCCCGUGAAAAAGACAAAUCUAUGUCGAAUCAGUUGGAAGCGGGUCAAAUUUGAACUGCGGUUGCCUUAUAGUUUGCUCUUUAUUUUUCCAAAAAUCAUUUCUAGGUACACAAGUAUCUAUUUAAUCAUAGAAACACCAAAAGGUUUCUAAGAUUCAACCACGAGGUAGGAACAGUCAUGCCCGCCGUUUCGACCGUAUUUUGAAACGGCCAUGAAAAAUUCAAAAACAAUAAAAAAA
rnacentral:lncRNA from 1 species